ACUGAGUAAUGAUACUGAUACGCUUUAAGGGCCCAUUUGGUUCAAGUUAUAUAAUAUUACAGAGUAUUUCGAAAUAUCCAGGUAUCUUGGAUUUCUAAAAGAGAUUACUACUUAUGUUGCAUUAGCAUGUUUGGUUUAAUAAAGUAAUGUAAUGCUGUAUUGCAGUGGUUAUAGCAUUAAUAUGUUUGUUUCUGUCUAUAAAAUUCAAUAAUGUAGACAAUAAAGUAUAGUUUAUUCCAAAAUUGUCCUUAACCAUAUUUUGUAAACUUUUUUUCUACUGUUCACAAAUAAUAUUUUUUUACUAAAUUUUAUUUUAAAUAAUUUAAUUUUUUAAAAUUUAAAAUUUAAAAUUUAAAAUUGAACAAAAAUAUAAAUUAAUAUUUUAAUUUAAAAUAGAAAUAUGAAAUUUAUAAAUUUAAAACCCAAAAUAUAAAUAUAAAUAUAAAUAUAAAAUUAAAAAUUAAAAAUCUAAAUUUAAACUUUAGAAAUUAAAAUACAAAUUUAAAAUUUAAAAUUUAAAAUUUGAAAUUUAAAAUUUAAAAUUUGAAAUUUGAAAUUUGAAAUUUAAAAUUUAAAAUUUAAAUUUAAAAUAUAGAAUUUGAAAUUUAAAAUCUAAAAUUUAAAUUCAAAUGUCACGCCCCGGAUUACACAUUCUCCGGGCACGCCGACAAAUCCGCCGUAUACAAAGGAAUUUUCCCUAUAUACGAAGCGAUAGCUGUAUCUGUAACAUAUACAAUACUACAACCAGUAGUAUAGAGCUGCUAGGAAAUAAAACAUAACCAGAUCUAAAACCAAUUUCCAUAUACAUACAUACAUCCAGGUGUACAAAUACUCAGCUCUGGCGAGAUACAACAAGUAUGUAUAAGAAACUCAAAAACUAACACUACCUGCGACUGGAAACUCUCGAACAGCAGCAAUUGGGAAGGGCUCUAACUCGCAACGCCCUUACCACGAUCUAUCUCGGAGGAUGCAGCAGCCGGAACCGAAGGCUCUGCAAAAGAAGGGUAACAACUGGGCGUUAGAAAUACUAUAAAAAUAAGUAGUCCUCAGUGGGUGCCGCCCUCACAUCAUUGGUCCACCCACUAAGUCUACAGGAGGAAGUAAGGAUAAUAGAAAGAGUUGAAAGAAAUCUGCAGCUAAAAACCACUACACUAUCCUACUCUACAUUAACCACUGUAGAAAAUGUCAAUCCUGACCCAAUCUAAGUGGGACUGUAAGCCUACCUGUCCCUGGGACUGUGAAUACACCCGUUCCGCCCGGUUGUGACUAUAUAGCUACCUCCACACUAAGCAGUCCGUGGAGAGCAAGUCCAACCUGCACGAACGACAUCAACGCGAAAGCACAGCGCCCGUCUCUGGAGUGGCACUCGUGGGAGAAACCGAACUGAGUAUGUAGCGUAUCUCUGUUGAGCUCAAUCUGGCUCUCACAAGCCUAUGUCAAGUAACCCAAUCUAACUGGUCUAACAACGAACAGGUCACGUGCGCUCAGCACAAUCCGAUGCCAAAACGGCGACAUGGGUCCACCGUCAACCCCGACGGCACCCAACAGUCUGGAACAGUUUAAACACUACUGUAAAAAUACACUCGGCAUCCCAGCACGAGCAUAACUGAAAUCUAAACUAUUUGGGGUAUCCACAACGCCGAUAUUGCGGCGAUACAAAAAUAACAACGGCUUCUAGAGCUAAAUCAGGUAGUUUAAGCAUAUGACGAAUCAUAAUCGCAGGUUUUCUCCUAAGUCAUAUCCAAGUCCAACAUGUGUAAAUAUCUAGUCAUAAUAUAAGCUCCAAUUCAUGCUUUGAAGAUAAAUCUACCAAAUCCGCGAAUCGAGCCAAUUCAAUGUUCUAAACAACACGAUGCACACAUGUUGACUAUAUAGCUACUUAGAGAAUAAACCGACGAUUAACCCACCUCAAACGCUAAUCCUAAUCUGACGCGACGUCGAGAACGGCGGAAUCGCACCCUCGCCCGGCGUCCCCGCGACGCUACGACGACGAACGUACGCUCGAACGACUCCGCGGCGCGACGUCGACGACGAUCCACACCACCCGAGCUCCCCCGCAAUCGGACCAAGCUAGAGAAAGAGAAGGAAGAAGUGGAUCAGUAAAAUCUCUCUCCCGAGCUCAGCCCAUGCAUAAAUAUCAAAGGGGGAGAGAGGUGACACAACUCCGGAGCGCAUCGUUCGAGGGGGAGCUACCGCCACCGAGCAAGGACAUAAAGCGAGUAUGAUCCAAUCCUUAACUCUAAGGAUGUCAAGUUCAAUCCGUUCCUUAACUGUAAGGAAAUUAUGCAUAAAUGACCCUUAGCUCUAAGGUUGUAUGUCAUUGUGUCUCAAUCUCAUGUUCUUUGCAUUCUUUGUUUUCGAUCAUGUCAUUAUACUAACUCUAGUAUUCUUUAUGCCACACUUGAGGCUAACUCUAGCAUUUAUUGUUCUUGGUGCCACACUUAUUCUCUUUGAUGCCACAACUAACGCUAGUGUUCCAAUGCUCUAGCAUUCAUAUCCUCUUUAAUGCCACACACAAACUAACUCUAGUGUCAUCUUUGCAUUUACUAAUGCCACUCGAUCUACAUGUCAUCGUGUCACAUUUAUUCUCUUACCUCAACUAGGUUUUCAUGUCACAUCUCAUGCAUACAUAGGACUCUUAGGUUCUCAACCAUCUGAUAAUGCAUUUGUACUUACAACAUGCAAACAUUCACAUAAUUAUGAUUUCAAUCACCCUACAAUGCAUGCAACAAUAUAUAUAUAUAUAUAUAUGUAUGCUCAAUGAGUGACACAUUAGACAUAAAAAGAAUUUCAAGGAGUUUGAAAAGCAUCACCCACCUCGUAGGCUUGCUAGGGUGUUACGGUUAAUUUCUCGAAAUUUUCGGACUCCUAUUCCGCGAGAUGCGGCAAUCUGUACCAAAAUCGACCUUUUUGUCAAUAUCUCCGCACACACAUGUCGGAUCACCGAACCGAGCGCACCAAUGCGUCGGAAAUACCCCCAAUUAGGUUUCUAUACGAUCAAUUUUGAACUAAACCUCUUCAAUGCAAAAGCUCCAAAUUUGGAUGCCCUAGCUUUCAUAAACCAUCAAACCCUUGGUUUGAUCUCUAUCGUAAGCAAAAGAAAGCUUAAUAACACCUAGGGAUUUCAUCAAAACCAUUUCUAGGUCCAUUCAAACCAUCAAAACCAUUUCUAGGUCCAUUCAAACCCACCUUAGGGUUCUACCAUGAGAGGGGGAAGAAGCUUACCUCUAAACUUUCCUUUCCUCAAGCUAAUGGUAAAGGAGAGGGAGUUCCUUCACUCCUUCGCCUUCUUCUCCACCUUCUUCUCCUUCUUCUAGAGAGAGAGAGAGAGAUAUAUGAGAGAGUGUGUGGGAGAGAAAUGAGAGAAAGAGCUCUCUUUCCCCUCUACAUAACCCAACUUGAUGCAUAAUUGCAUUUGGGCCCCUAAACUUUGCAUCAUAUGCACUUCUCAUCCUGGGCAGUUUUCGGGCACAGAGACCGGUCUCUCCAGCAGGGAUCGGUUUCCGAGAGCACUCCUCGCAGUUUACGUAGCCGGGGUCCGAUUUCACAUUGAGGGACCGGUCUCACGGGGACCGGUCUCUCCCCGCAGGGACCGGUCCCCAAGAGCACAGCUCUCAGGACUUAGUCGAUUUUUCCACUUCUGAGAUUUCAUGCGUACGGGGACCGGUCUCUCUCCGGAGGGACCGGUCCUCGAGAGCUAGUUUUUCAAUACUUAGCCAUUUUCACAACCUUCUCACCUACGGGGACUAGUCUGUCCCACCAGGCACCGGUCCCCGAGAGCUAGGCUGCGCGCAGAGCUUUCUGUUCAACCCAAUACGCGUACGGGGACCGGUCUCUCCCAGCAACGACCGGUCCCCGAGAGCUCAAAAGCUCCAGUUUGCAUAUUUUUUAUUCACUAGCUCUCGAAGAUCCCCAACAAUACAUUUUUGCCCUUUUUGACGCCUUCGGCCUUUUCGAAGCUACCAACCUUGCACUUUGGUCAAUUUGACUAAAGUUUAAUAUUUGUUUACCGAGGUUUCGGUAUAUUAUAUUCUCCACCCCUUAAAAUAAUUUCGUCCACGAAAUUAACCAUACCUCAACUCGUCGACUCAAAUAAGUGUGGAUACUUCUUCCGCAUAGUCUCCUCAAGCUCCCAAGUAGCUUUACGCACCGCAUGAUUGCUCCACUGGACUUUCACAUAAGGAAUUUUGCGACUCCGCAAUUUUCUUUCUUCUCUAUCGAGGAUGCACACCGGGUACUCCUCAUACGUCAUAUCCUCACAUAACUCCACGGGCUCAUACUCUAAUACAUGUGUCGAGUUGCGAAUGUACUUUCGGAGACUUGACACAUGGAACACAUUGUGAACUCCCGCGAGUCUCGGUGGUAGUGCGAGCUUGUAUGCCACCGCACCCACACGCUCUAGUAUCUCGAAUGGUCCGACAUAACGGGGGCUCAGCUUCCCGCGGACCCCAAAUCAUCUCACUCCUCGUAUAGGCGAGACUUUUAAAAACACGCGGUUUCCUACCGCGAACUCUAAGUCUUUUCUACGCUUGUCGGCAUAACUUUUCUGCCUUAAUUGCGCCGUCGCUAACUGUUGACGGGCAAGGCGAACUUUUUCCUACGCUUCCCGCACUACAUCCGGGCCAAGAGCAACUCUCUCGCCCACGUCGCUCCAAUGAAUAGGAGAGCGACACUUUCUUCCAUACAAUGCUUUAAAUGGCGCCAUCACGACACUUUCUUGAUAACAGUUAUUAUACGCGAACUCCACCAUUGGCAAGAAAUCAUGCCAACCGCCCUUGUAAUCAAGUACACACGCUCGAAGCAUAUCCUCAAGGAUUUGUAUUGUUCGCUCCGACUGACCGUCACUUUGAGGAUGAAAUGCCAUACUGAAAUCAAGCCGUGUGCCCAAUGCGUCCUACAAGCUCUUCCAAAAAUGAGAUGUGAACCUAGGGUUUCGAUCCCAUACAAUAGACACCGGAACCCCAUAAAGUCUCACAACCUCGUCGAGAUAGACUUGAGCUAGCUUAUCUCCCGACCAUGUAGUGUGAAUCGGCAAGAAAUGAGCUGACUUCGUCAGUUGAUCCACUAUCACCCAUAUCGCGUCGUGUCCAUCUUGAGAUCGAGGCAAACCGGUAACGAAGUCCAUCGCUAUAUCUUUCCAUUUUCAAACGUGUAUUUAUAGACUUUGAAGCUUUCCCGCCGAAAACCGACGCUCCGCUUUCACUUGUUGGCACGUGAGACACUGCGCCACGAACUCCCCAAUAUCUCUUUUCAUGCCCGGCCACCAAUAAUGCACUUUUAAGUCCUUGUAUAUUUUAGUGCCGCCCGGGUGUAUGCUAUAGAGAGACUGAUGCGCCUCUUGCAUGAUCUCCCUUCGAACAUCUUCAUUCCUAGGCAUGCACCAUCGAUUCUGAAAUCGAAGUGCGCUAUCGGCUCCAAUGCCAAAAUCCUCAACACUACCGUUUUCAACUUCAGUUUGCACCUUUUGGAGAUAAAGAUCCGAAGCUUGUAGUUCCUUGAUCUUCUCUAACAAGGUCGGUUGUACAACUAACGCGGCAAGUGUUGCCGGCACUCCCGGCGCUACUAUCUCAAGACCCAACCGUUGCAUCUCCUUUUGAAAUAACAGUUGUGACGUGAUUGCCAUCGCCAAGUUUUCCACUGAUUUUCUACUUAGCGCAUCGGCUACAACAUUGGCUUUUCUCCGGUGGUAUAGUAUAGUAACGUCAUAGUCCUUCAACAACUCUAACCACCGCCGCUGCCGCAUAUUCAAUUCCUUCUGGGUGAACAAGUAUUUGAGACUCUUGUGAUCGGUGUAGAUCUCACAAUGUUCACCAUACAAGUAAUGCCUCCAUAGUUUUAGCGCGAAAAUCACCGCAGCUAGCUCAAGGUCAUGUAUCGGGUAGUUCUUCUCGUAAAUCUUCAAUUGUUGAGAAGCAUAAGCUAUCACUCGACCAUUUUGCAUCAAAACUCACCCGAGAUCAACAUACGAGACAUCGCUGUACACUACAAAAGUCUCGCCCGAAGUUGGCAAGGCCAGCACUGGGGUCGACGUCAACCUGUUCUUCAAUUCUUCGAAGCUCCGAUCGCAAUUGUUGCUCCAGAUAUACUUUACUCCCUUGUGGGUAAGGCGCGUUAGUGAAGUAGUUAUUUUGGCAAACCCCUCCACAAACUGCCGGUAGUAGCCCGCGAGUCCAAGAAAACUGCGGACCUCCACUACACUUAUCGGGCGAGGCCAAUCCUUUAUUGCCUCGACUUUCUUCGGAUCUACCGAAACUCCGUCGCCCGAUAUCACGUGACCCAAGAAUGUGACCUCUGAGAGGCAAAAGUCACAUUUCUUCAACUUAGCAUAGAGCUUCUCUUGUCGGAGUAUUUGCAGCACAGCUCUCAAGUGCUCCUCGUGCUCCUCCUCGCUUUUCGAGUAGACCAAUACGUCAUCAAUGAACACUACGACGCACCGGUCCAACAACGGCCUGAAGACUCGAUUCAUCAAGUUCAUAAAUACUGCCGGGCCAUCAGGAAGCCCAAACGACAUUACCGUGAAUUCAUAAUGGUCAUACCGCGUACGGUACGCCGUUUUGUGCACAUCCUUCGGCCUAAUCUUCAAUUAAUGAUAUGUAACAUACCAGAUUUUGGUAUAAAAAUAAAAAUAAAUAAAAAUAGUGUGAGAUACUAUUUUUAUUGAAUUUAGAGAAGUAAAACAUAAGUUAGAAGUGACUUAUGCUGAAAUCGGAAUGAAAACAGAAGAUUUAGAAUUUUCUGUUGGAAACGGAACAGAUAUGCAGAAAAUGCACAGUCUCAGAAAAUUAUAAAAACCGGAGGAUAAGCCAGAAUUAUUUUUAUGAGGCUAGAUUUAAAGUUUCAUAUUAUUCUGGCACCCGGAAGGUAGAAAAUAAAAUCCGACAGUUAUCUAAUAAAGAUUUCAGUUCGAUAAAGCUUUCGCUGACCAAACGUGAUCGAAACUAAAAAACUUAAGAUAUAUUCUUUCUUAGUAAGGAAAACCGAACCUGACUGUCAAAUUUGAGCACAAACGGACAUUCAGAAGGGCUCCGACGUGUCCAAACUGCUAAACUGAGCUGGAGAUGUAAUUUCUAAUAGUUGCAAGGGGUUCUUGUGAAUUUGGCCACUUGUCUCCUUCUUCUCCUCAACCGUAUGCGGCACACACACACACCACACACGCAUAGAGAGGGAGAAAGAGAAACCUCCCUUUCUCUCUCUAAAUCUCUUCCAAAAUUGGUGGAUUUGGUGGAGAAGAUGCUUGCGAACGCGUUGGAGGCGGCGGUUCGAGCUUUCGUGCGGCCGUUGGAGCGGCGUGCUAUCGUCGCGGCGUUCAUAUUGUGGUAAGCUUUUGGGAUUUGACUUAAUCCUUAGCUUUAAGUGUUCUAAUAGCCUCUAAUGAGCAUUGUUAGCAUGUUGCUCUACUUAAUUUGGAUUAUUUGGAGGUUAAUUGCAUAUUAGGGCUCCGAAUGUCGUUUUGUAAAAUAGUAGGGUUUGAUCUCAUUUGACCCUCCGUAAAUCUAAUUGCUAGGUAAACGAACGUGUUGGCGAAGUCGGUUCGACGAUUCGUCGAGCCUACGCGAAGUUAUUAAAGAAACGGACGUUUAGGCUUCAUUUCUUCCUGGAAGGCCGAGGCGAUAUCGUAAAAUCAUGAAAACGGAUUUCGAGUACCGUGGCACAUAACUGAAGACCUAUAAUUUUCGGAGCCGCGAUUCGACGCACGGUUGGUGAGUAUUAGCAAAAUCGGGCCGAACCGGACACGGGUACCGUGGGAGGCCGAUUGCAAGUGUCGACAAGCAAUCAGAAAGCGAUUUGAGGUGGGUUGUGUUUACCAAAGCGACUAGGUCGCCUGUAUGUCUAAGAUGAGUGUUUAUCCUUGAUGCAUAUUAUGGUAGCUAGUGGUAGAAUGUAUAAAUACAUGAAAUGAAUGCUAUGUUAGGCUACCAAAUAAUGCAUAUGGUCAUAAUGUGAGAAUGCUAAGUAAUGCAUAAUGACAUAGCGUAAAUAAUGCUAAGUGGAAAGCAUAAGUAAAUGACAUAUGUUAGUCAUGUUGCAUGUAUAGAAAUGCUAAUGUAAUAAUACUAAGUGGAUACAUGUAGUAAAUGCUAAAGGNUAAGUGGAAAGCAUAAGUAAAUGACAUAUGUUAGUCAUGUUGCAUGUAUAGAAAUGCUAAUGUAAUAAUACUAAGUGGAUACAUGUAGUAAAUGCUAAAGGGAAUGCAUGUUAAUGAUGUAAUAUAGAAAUGCUAGAAUGCAUGAUGAUGUAAUAUAAAUGAUACUAGUUAAAAGCAUGAGGUAAAUGACAUUUGCAUGUUAACGUAAAGUAGAGAACAUGCUAGUUGUAAUGCAUAAUGAUAAGUUGUAAAGAAUGUAUGACAAGUAUGUUAUGUAAAUGCUAGAUAAUUGCAUGAUGCAUGAUUAGCAUUGUAAGAGGAUGCACGAAUUGGAUCGAUAACUCUAGAGUAGAGACAUCGACAUUGGACAUCUAUAUAUUAGAUCAAGUGGCAUUUAACCUAGUGUGAGUGAACAUAGGUUGAACAUGAAUGAUAUGAACCUAGUGUUAGUAAACCUAGGUCGGACAUGAAGGAUCACAUUGAACCUAGUGUUAAUAAACAUAGGUUGGGCAAGGGUGGAAAUUAACCUAGUGUUAAAGAACAUGGGUUGAGGUGAUAAGUGGCAUGGAACCUAGUGUUAAAGAACAUAGGUUAAGAUUGAACCUAGAGUUAAAGUAACCUAGGUUGUGAGAUAAAGAUAGUGAACCUAAGGCCAAGUGGACCUAGGAUGGAAAGGACAUUGGACCUAGAUAAGUCAUUAUUAUAGGGUUAAAGCCAACCCUUGAGUUAUGUGAAAUGGAUUUCAGAAUCCUAGAGCUUAUGGAACACCCAAGGUGGUGUUGGGCGUGUGCGACGAUUUUUCCGUCCGGGGCUAUACCAACGACGUGGCGUGUGCGACGAUUUCGCCGCUGGAUGGGUGAGCUGAAUUUUGGUUUAUACCGGUUGAGCCGGGUUGUGGAUUAUACCGCUGGUUGACUCGAAUCACUGACGUGGCGUGUGCGACGAUUUCGCUGCAGGGUGGCUAGGUCAUAUAGCGCGGUGAGUUGUGGAAAGCUGAGGUGCAUGUGUGAGUUCCUUCACCUCGAGCUAGACAGAGCGCGGAUUAUCCGCCAUUGAUUAACUCAAGACCAAGUCGAGUGGCAUAGCGUGACCAAGGUAAGAACAACCUUAGAAAAGAAUGGCUAUGAGUAAAGAAUAGUCAAGGAUAAAGAAGGACUAAGAUUAAAAAGUAGAAUUAAAGUAAUCUACUUGGUUGGUUGCAUAGUUUCAUUUUGCAUAUUGAGAGGCAUGACAUGUAGUUCAAUAUUGAGUAAACGUAUAAAAAUCUGUUAUAUGUUAUUGGACUAACCUGUUGCAGUGCCUCAUUAGACCUAUUGGUUGAACUUUUCCCUUAGGUGGCCGUACCCACUGGGAACCAUGGAGUUGGUUCUCACCCCACGUUGUCACCCUACGUUGUUUUGGGGUGUUUCAGGUUCACACGUAAGCGCGCGGCGGCGCGAGGCGAGGGCGUAGCUCUGUAGUUAGCGCUCCACCAUCGAGACCAGAGAUAGCGGUACACUGAGUCGACCUUACUUAGGGAUGCAAGGAAAUGAAAAGAAUCAAGUUGUAAUAAUAUUGUUAAAGCUAGAUUGUAUUUUGAAGCUAAACAGAAUGUAAAAUAUAUGUGAGUUGAAUGAUUGUAAUAACUUAGUUGUAUUUAUGUUUGUGAUACUUUCUUAUGCAAUCUUUGAUUGAAUACUACUCCUGGUUGGAACCUCGCGUAUUGCUUUGUAUUGAUUGCGACGCCUUAAAUGUACAAGGGAGACUCUGUCCGCGAUACAGGAAAAACGUGUGCCCAAACCGACCAAAUAGGCGAGCUCGGGGCGUGACAGAUAAGAUGGUAUCAGAGCAUAAAAAGAACACAAAAACAAUAAUAGAAAUGAUUUAGUUGGACCUAGAAGACCCUAGGAUAUUAAAUCAUAGGAGAUAAAUAAUAUUUAUAUAUAAAAUAUUACGUAAUAAUAUAUUUAUAUAAAAAUGUAAUAUCAUAUAUAAUAGUUGGACCUAGAAGACCCUAGGAUAUUAAAUCAUAGGAGAUAAAUAAUAUUUAUAUAUAAAAUAUUACGUAAUAGUAUAUUUAUAUAAAAAAGUAAUUAUAUAUAUAUAUAUAUAUAUAUAUAUAUAUAUAUAUAUAUAGAGUGAGGCUACUAUGCUAUCGGAAGCACGGAGCCUUCCGUGCUUCUAGCUCGUUUUCGAUGUUGCGACUUUCGAAUCGUCGAUCGGCUCCGUUAAACUUNGGCGUGACAGAUAAGAUGGUAUCAGAGCAUAAAAAGAACACAAAAACAAUAAUAGAAAUGAUUUAGUUGGACCUAGAAGACCCUAGGAUAUUAAAUCAUAGGAGAUAAAUAAUAUUUAUAUAUAAAAUAUUACGUAAUAAUAUAUUUAUAUAAAAAAGUAAUUAUAUAUAUAUAUAUAUAUAUAAUGGAAGAGGAAGAGAGAGUCCACCGUGGACUCUCUCUCUCACGCGGGUCCACGAGAUGAAGAUGAUCUCGUGGACCGCAUGCGCGCAAGGCCCUAUGAGCCGCGCGUUUUUGAGACCAGUUUUCGUUUUCCGCGAAAACCCGGCGGAAAACGAAAAUGAGGUUUUUUUUCGAGAAUUUGUAAAACAACUUUUCCGAAAAAAAAAAUUUACGUGCAACCAAACAUCGGGAAAAAAAUUUUCGAUCGAAAAAAAAUUUUCGGACCGGUUUUACAGGGAACCAAACAGCCCCUAAAGUUUAAAAGUUGAAUAAUUUAUCUUUUCUUUAUUUCCAUAUAUAAUCUUAACAACCACAUAAAAAUUUCAACAAAUCACAUAUAAUCCUUAUAACUUAAAAUAUUUUAACAAUCUAUCUAUAUAAUUUUAACCAUAAAUAAAAUUUAAUGAUCUACAUACAAUCUUAACAACCUCAAAAAAAAUCCUCCGAAUAUAUAAAAAAAAUAAUAAUAACAAUAUAAAAACGGCGAAUUAUUCACCGCUUUCUAAAGACGGCAUGUUUCUCAAGUUAAUUAGUUGCCCAAAUGAAAUUUUGAAAGGAUUAUUUGGCAAAUUAGAAAUCGUAACGGAGUUACUGUGUAAAAAAGUCCAUUUCACUACACUGAAUCUGCCAUUUCUUCCCAUGCACCCUUCAUAAAUAACUCUACAUUUGUUUUCUCACUAGCCAGUGAAUCUGCCAUAUAUCUUUUUUUGAUUAAACAGGGGUAUACCCAAUCUGCCAUAUAUCUUUUCUUGUACUUCUAUUCAAUUUCCACCACCCAAACAAGCCACAACUCUUUGAGGAUUUAAAAGUAGCUUAUUAAAAGUGGUGGAAAUUUAAACUAGAUAGGGAUAGAUGGUGCAAGAAAAAAGGUUUGAUAUUACUGAGUUAGCUUCAUUCCUAGCACAACACAUGCAGUUUACGACUGAUUUAAAUUUUAUUUCUGUUUGAAUCUCAAUCCUAGUUGACUCAGGCAUAUAUACUUGGAUAGGCAUUUGGGGCUACAUUAUAAAUUGAUAGUGCGAUUGUCGAAGAGUUCAUCUCUGUUACUAUACCUUGCAACCAACCAAUUACAGUUCAACAAUUGCCUUCUCUUGCAUAUUAUAUUACGUAUCAAAAUAUAAAAAAAAAAAAAGAAAAAAAAAUUCAGAUAAAGGCUCUCAAGAUUGUAGAACAACACUGUGCGAGAAACCUUAGUGGAUGUGUAGUCAUGCACACUGUUACCGAUGAGUUAGGAUAAAGCCGCAUCCAUUGAUUAGAACCUGUGGACAUUUUGGUGCAUGCAUAGGUGGAAGCACUUAUCAAGCAAAUAUUUCUACGUGGGACCUGCAUGAAUAUUCUUUUGCACUGCAUGUUUGUGUAUAGUGGAAGGGUAAGUAUACCCUAUACUUCUAAGACAUAUAACAAUCACUAUAUAUGAAGGCUUGACAACAUCGUAUAAUUAAUAUAUGGGAUCAAUUCUUUUUAAUUGAUGACUCUAAGCUUGAGAACAGGACAUCUAUGAUCCCCCCUCCCCACCAAAAAAGGAAGAAACAAAGAAAGAAGGAACUGCCGAAGAAGUAUGGGAGGCCUAGAUAUUGUUUUACACCAAGUACGAUAUAUAUAUUUUUUGUCUAAUCUUUCAAUAUAGAAUUCUUUUUGUCAAGUAAGAUUUUGUUGCAAAUGUUGAUAGGAGAACCUGUUGCUUCAAAAUACAACAUUUUGGGGAAACAAAAGGGGAAAAAAAAAAAAUUUCAAAUUAAAGCAGUUCAUUUCACACGCUUUAUACAGUACUAGCUUGAUUUUUUUUCUAUAUUGAUUGUUGCACAUAGCAAAAAGAUAAAUUCAACCUAUACAGGACGGUCAAUUUGGUGCCUAAGGUACAAGCUUAAUACCAUAAUGAAUGCUUGGUAAUACCAGUUGGUAAAUCUAUGCGAUUAUAUUUAAGACUUAAGAUUAGCUAGGCCCAGAUUAUGUUGAAUAAACAUCUUACCUUGCUUUUUGGCUAAUUUGUUAGAUUAUACUUCUGUUGGUUUUUUAUUUCUUGUUUUCCAUUUUCUCUUAUUUUAUGGCAUGAACUGUUUCAUUUGGACCACCACCAUUUUCUUAUUAGGGUGUGAAAAAAAAAGGUGCAGUAACAGGACCACAAUAUUCAUCUCUGACCUGUCAAAGUAAAGUCUAACUUGUACUGUUCACUUGAUAAAAUAUUAAGAUACCAUGGAUAUAGUUAGGUUUCCCUUCACCUAAUCCUAUAGUUCACUGAAUCUGUGGCAUCAACGUAGGGUUUUAUAUUCGUAGAGUGAUCUUGGCUUGCUAAUCGAUGCAUUUGGAACAUAGUGUUGAGUAAUUAAGCUUAAAUAAUGUGAUUAUAUCUCUAUUAGCUAUUAGGUACAUCAAUAAGCCUUGAACCCCCCACUUUCUCUUGGAGUGUUGUAUAGCCUGAACAAGUAAGUACAAGGACCACCAUGUUCAUCUCUGAAUGGUUUAUAAAAAGGUUUUGUAUCUUACUACGUUUACAUUAUCCGCAUCUUUGAGAUUACAAGUAAUCAACAGGAUAGUUAUCGGUAGAUAUAGUUUAAUUUUAUUACAUCUCUUAAUUUGCUAUAUCUGUUUGUUCUUUCUGGUUUAAUUAUAUAUGUCAAGCAGGUAAACUUGAUACCCUUCUUUCCUAAUGCCACCAAUUAAUUUGUCCUUUGUUAGUUCUGAGAGUAACACACAUGUUAAACAUAUAGUGCCCGGCCAACUAAAAUUUUGUUGAUAGAAAAUUAGUCCUUGUUAACGGAACUCUUAAUGAUAAGAUUUUAUUAUAUUUUUUAGUGUUAUCCAAAAUAUCAAUUUAGUAGGAAAGGGGCCCCAAGAAUAUAUAUUAACACUCUUACGCCCGUGCAUAAUGGAUGUACUAACAUUCCCACUCACAUGCAUAAUAAAUAUGAAUGACAGAUAGGAUUGAUAGGCGAGGUUGGAAAUCGGGACUUAACCCAUUAUAUAGUGAGGGAACUUAAACUGUUAAAUGUCAAAGAUGAGGAUUAAAUCCACAACGUCACAGAAUGAAGGGGUUUUAAAAUAGGCUCUGAAACAUGUUAUCUAAAAGAUCGAUUUAGUAGAAAACGGGUUCAAGAAUACAAAUCAAUAGUUAGGACAUAUUAGACGAAGUACAACAAAGUACUUAAGAAUAUAUAAUUCAGUGCAUUAUCCUUUGAGGCCCGUUUGGCACUUGGGAUUGGAGUGGAUAUAUAGGAUUGAAGAAGAUGACAAAGCGAAGUUGGGGGCGAGAGAGGGUUUAGUGGUUUGUAUAUGUCAGAGAUCAUAACAGUAGGGGUCAGCCCUGUAGGAUAAUAAUAAGGUUUUUUGAAUAAUAUCUAGUUUAAUCCUAGCCUUUGCGGUCGAAAUGGGUAGUCCCAUCUGGCUGACUGGAUUCGAUAAUCUCAACCUCUUGUGAAAUCUAAUGUCUUUAAAAGGGGGAAAUGGAUAAGAAGUGAUUAGAUAUUUGACGAAAUUAUCUCCGCACUCAUAUUCUUUUUUUAAUUUGGAUAUGAAUUUGGAUUUGGAUAUGUGUCAAAUGCUAAACUUUCGUACCAUAUUCGCUAAAAAUGGAUUCAGACACAAUCGAAUUUUUUAUCGAGUUCUGAGAUGGAUCAGAUUUGAUUCGGAUAUUUUUCAGAUAAUAAAAUAUACUAAAAUGCAUAUAUGUAUAUGAACUAGAAUUUGCACGAAAAAGAUACAAUGCAAUUUAAGUUUUAUUCUCAUGUUCAAACUUUGUAUUCCUACGGUUUGUUGGGUAAGAUCUGAAGGCAUGUUUGGUUCAAAAUAAAAAUCAAAAUUAGAAUGAAAAUCUGAAUAGAUCAGAAUGGAAAAUGAAAGGCUGAAAUCUCCUAAUUUCUUUUGGUUAAUAAUAGAACCGAUAGCAAUCUUCAAGUUUGAAUCAUGGGAUUAGUGCAAGAACACAAGGUAUCUAUUUUAAAAUUUGGAAGCUCAAGGAAGUUAUGCCACGUGUUAAACUAUAUAUUCAUCUGGCGUGCUUUUGUGGAUGCUCUUCCAGUGGGCAUCAAGCUUGCGGAGCGUAUACCUCAUUUUGGAGACUCUUGCCCACUGUGCUAGGAGCAGUCUGAGAUGAGGGAUCAUAUGUUCUUUCAUUGUCCAUUAAGUCAGCAAGUGUGGUUUGCCUCGCAGGUUGGUUUGCGCACUGCAUAGUCAUCACUAACUUUCAUAGAGUGGUUGGAUGCACUCAUUAACAAUGAACGAUUUUACGAGAUUCGGGCAUACUGCAUGCAUGUGUUGUGGUCCAUUUGGAAGGCACGAAAUGAUUAUAGUUUUCAGCACAAGAAAUUUUUGUGCUCGGAAGUUUUGAGGAAUGCGAGAAUAUGGACGAAGCUCUAUAGCAAAGCUCACCUUCAGCCUCUCCAUAUUCCUGAUCCGUCGACUAUCAAUUCUUUUUCACGACCAAAUACCAUCUGUUGGGUGGAUGGUGCUUGGAAGGAAAAUCGCUCGGGUGGAAUUGGAUAUUUAGUCGUAGAAGAGGAUGUCGUCAUUUAUUGUUGCGCAGCACCUUCCUUCGAUUCAGAAACUGCCCUUGCUGUUAGAAUUUGGUUAGAUUUGUAGUUAAAUCCUAUUUGGAUAAGAAUUAAUAUUUAAAUCUGUUUGAGAUAAAUUAAGAUUUAAAUAUUAAUUAGAGGAUAAAUCUAACUAGAUUAGGAUUAAUAUUUAAAUCUAUUAGAGAUUAAUUAAGAUAGAUUUAGAUAUUAAUUGGAAUAGAAAUCCUAAAUAUAUUAGGAUUGGGGUACGUUUUAGUGGAGCUUUAUAAAUAGCUCUUUGUUGGUUUGUUUUUGAGGUGAAGUACGGGAGAGAGAGAGAGAGAGUCUCUUGGGUUGCCGUACCAGAGAGAGAAAAAGAGAGAGAGAAAGAGAGUUAUUUAAUUAUGCUUUGAGUGCACCUAGUGCACGGGUGCAUGUGAAGGAUUGUCUUCUUUAUGGAUUUAUAGAAGACGAGAGAAUGGUAGAAAAGAUUCAGAAAGAGGGCUCGGGUUGUAGCUACUCUGUGCAGUAGAGGAGUCAGGUGUAAUCUUCUCUUAUUUAAUGAAUCUUAUUUUACUCGUAUAUUUUCUAUUUUUUGGUAUUUCUCUCUUUUAUGAUUGUAUCAGCUUUUGCUGAGGAGACGGGUUUAUGGUAAAAAUCCGAUUCGACAUUUCCGUUGCGGAAUCCCAACAAUCAAUACCGAAUCCACAGCAAUCGGUAUCGGAGCGGGUUGUGGAUUCACGAGAUCCGGUACCGGGGCGAGUACCGGAUUCCCAACAAGUGGUAUCAGAGCCGAAGGUUACCGAUCUGCGGGAGAAAUCGACAAAGAUGGCCACGAAAUUCGAAAUCGAGAAGUUCGACGGCAAGAACAAUUUCGGAUUAUGGCAAAUUAAAGUACGAGCAAUCCUCGUACAGCAAGAAUUGGACGAGACAUUGAACGGGAAGGAGGCGAAGCCGGCGGAGGUCACGGAUGCGACAUGGACGAAGAUGGAGCGGAAGGCACUGAGUACGCUUCAUCUCUCAUUAGCAGAUGAGGUUCUUUACAACGUAGCCAGUGAGACGACACCAGCGAAGUUGUGGAAGAAACUAGAAGAUCUGUAUAUGACCAAAUCCUUGACGAACAGGUUAUAUCUGAUGCAGCGAUUGUUUACGCUGCGGAUGCAUGAAGCGGCAAGCCUACAUGAUCAUCUGAACGAGUUCAACAAGGUGGUGGCCCAGUUGACCAGCAUCGGAGUCAAUCUGGAUGAUGAAGACAAGGCGUUGAUCCUACUAUCUUCGCUACCGACGACAUAUGAGCAUCUGGUGACCACGUUGCUUUAUGGCGAGGAGUCCAUAAGCGUGGAGGCGGUCACGGCGGCGCUUCUCUCGAACGAGAUGCGGAAGAUGACUCAGGAGUCCGGCACACAGAGCAGGGAUAUAGCUUUGGUGGUGAGAGCGAAGAAGGAGGCGACAACAUCAGCGACCGGAUAUCGACAGAAGAAACCGCUAUCUGAGGUAGAAUGCUUUUACUGUCACAGGAAGGGGCAUAUCAAGCGCAAUUGUCGAAAACUUCAGGAUAAUCUGAAGGAGUUAAAGCGACAGACGGAGCAAACUGUCGUGAACCAGGAUGAGACGGUAUCAGCGACGGCGCAGACAGCAGAAUCGGAGAUGAUCGAUUCUGAUGUGCUAUAUGCAGCGACCGGAGGUGCGAAAAUUUCGGAUGACGCGUGGGUGCUCGAUUCGGCGUGUUCUUUUCACGUAUGCCCGGAGAAGGAGUCUUUUGCAACCUAUAAGACGAUCAAAGGUGGAAAAGCUCUAAUGGGGAACGGGACGACGUGCAAAGUUUUGGGAGUCGGCACGGUGAAGAUCCGAAUGCACGAUGGAGUCGUGAGGACGCUGACAGGUGUGCAACACAUUCCUGGAUUGAGACGAAAUUUGAUCUCGUUAGGCGCGUUGGACUCGAAAGGUUGUGAUAUUUCGGCUUCAGGUGGAGCUAUGAGUGUCCGAAAACGAGAUCGGAUCGUAUGCGAGGCGAACAAGCGUGGGAACUUAUACAUUCUGAACGGGAGCACAGCCAGAACGGGAGCGAAGACGGUUUGGGUUCCAAAAGUUCGCGGAUGUGCAGUUGCUCGAGACGGAGCGACGGAUGCGGCGACAUCGAGCGGAGGAGACAAGCUCAAGGUGGAGCUUGCAUGGUGAGCUCGACGUAGCGGUUGAAAAUUACAAAUCAAACCAAGGUGGAAAAUGUUAGAAUUUGGUUAGAUUUGUAGUUAAAUCCUAUUUGGAUAAGAAUUAAUAUUUAAAUCUGUUUGAGAUAAAUUAAGAUUUAAAUAUUAAUUAGAGGAUAAACCUAACUAGAUUAGGAUUAAUAUUUAAAUCUAUUAGAGAUUAAUUAAGAUAGAUUUAGAUAUUAAUUGGAAUAGAAAUCCUAACUAUAUUAGGAUUGGGGUACAUUUUAGUGGAGCCUUAUAAAUAGCUCUUUGUGAGUUUGCUUUUGAGGUGAAGUACGGGAGAGAGAGAGAGAGUCUCUUGGGUUGCCGUACCAGAGAGAGAAAAAGAGAGAGAGAGUUUGCUUUUGAGGUGAAGUACGGGAGAGAGAGAGAGAGUCUCUUGGGUUGCCGUACCAGAGAGAGAAAAAGAGAGAGAGAGAGAGAGAGAGUUAUUUAAUUAUGCUUUGAGUGCACCUAGUGCACGGGUGCAUGUGAAGGAUUGUCUUCUUUAUGGAUUUAUAGAAGACGAGAGAAGGGUAGAAAAGAUUCAGAAAGAGGGCUCGAGUUGUAGCUACUCUGUGCAGAAGAGGAGUCAGGUGUAAUCUUCUCUUAUUUAAUGAAUCUUAUUUUACUCGUAUAUUUUCUUUUUUUUGGUAUUUCUCUCUUUUAUGAUUGUAUCAGCUUUUGCUGAGGAGACGGGUUUAUGGUAAAAACCCGAUUCGACGUUUCCGUUGCGGAAUCCCAACAAUCAAUACCGGAUCCACAGCAAUCGGUAUCGGAGCGGGUUGUGGAUUCACGAGAUCCGGUACCGGGGCGAGUAUCGAAUUCCCAACACUUGCUGCAAAGAUACGAGCAUGUACUGAGGCGGUUAAGUGGCUUCUAAAUAAUCGGCCUAAUAUCAAGUGCUCAAUUUACACAGAUUGGACCACUAUCGUUCGUUCCUGUUUGUUUAAGGACCAGCAUUUCCCGUUUUCACUACAAGAAUUAGAGCGUAUUGCUUCACUUCAACGCCUUUUGGACUCCAAUAAUAAUAUUCUUAUAGGUGGUCUUCUAGAUAUAGCUCAUUUUCAUAAUGUGUUGAUAAACUAGCUAAAUAGGGCCUUGGUUCCCAGGUAGCUUCUAAGAGUUUGAGAAGUCUGUAAUUAUUUAUCCUAUUGAAUAAAUGCCUUAUGGCGUUUCUUUUCAAAAAAAAUAAUAAUAAUAAUAAUAGAAAUCAGACUCAAAAUCAACCCAUUUUUAUUGUUUAGUUAAGUGAAAUUUAAUUGCCUCUAAAAAGUGUUAAAAAUAGAAGUAACAAAACAAAAUAUAAAAUUCAAAUCUAAAGUUUAAAAUUUGAAUUUGAAUUCAUAGUUUCUAUUCAUAUCUCCUAUGUAAGUUACAAUUCACAAUUUAUAUAUAUUUUUUGAAAUUUUAGUUUAAAUUUGGUUUCAAAAUAAUAUAUAUAUUGAAUUCACAAUUAAAUCAUGUUUAUAUUUGAAUUUCAAAAAAUUUAAUUUUAGUUAAAAUUAAAUUCAUAAUGAAAAUUUGAAUCCAAAUUUGAACUGAUACUUUGAACCUAAAAUAUAAAUUUAAAUAAAAAUUCACGAUUCAAAUUCAAGUUCAAAGUCAAGAUUACAACUUUGUCAAAAUUCAAACAUCAAUCUUAUAUUAAAAUUUAAAAAUUUAAAAAUUUAAAUUUAUAUUUUAGUUCAUACUUUAAAUUCAAAUUUGACAUUAUAAUUAAAUCUAAAUUUAAAUAUAUAUAUAUAUAUAUAUAUANCGGUUAGGAUAAUAGUAAUAUCUUAAGGUUAAUGGUUGGUUGGUUAAAUAGUAAAAUCUAAUUGAUGAAAAUGGUCAAAGAGGUAGAUCUAACGGUAGAAAACUUACAAGCACUAAGUGCUUUACACUUUUAAAAGCAUCAUAGCCAGAUUCCAUAUAUAGAUAUAUUUAAAUUUAUAUUUACAAGCACUAGGUGCUUUAUGCUUUUAAAAGCAUCAUAGUUGCAUUUUGCAUGCUAAUUAAGCAAGCCCUCUACUACAUUACCUCAUUGUCAUUUAUUCUUUUACAGGCUAUAAUUACUAACAUAUAUUAAUUUUCCAAUAUCCAGAUUAGAUGUUUUCGGGCAUCUUUUGCAGUUUUUGAGACCUGCAUCUGUAUCCGACCAGAUAAAGAUAUUUCCUAUUCGGAUAGGGAUAAAAAUGGAAUACAAGCACGGAUAUGAUAAGGUAUUAUUCGAUCUAUUUUCACCCGCCGUAUUUCCAAGUUGAACAACUCCUUGUCUCUUAACAUCUUCUUCCAACUUAUCGAUCUUAUCCGUUUCAAUUCAGGGUGCCAAAUGUUACGGUGAUGGGCCACCAACAAAUACAUUCUAUAUACUUAUUAUGGUAUAUAGAGGUUUCCACAAAAAGUAAAAUAGAAAAAACGAGAGAGGAAGAAGACAAAUCAAAGAAUCUGGUACGUUGUAAUGGAAGCAAAACAAAAUAACUUUAUUGAAGAAAAUAACUCAUCACCAUAUGCAACCUUCGGCGAGCGCUAAUUAAUUAUGGCGACUCCCGGCUUCAUUAACCAAAUAAUCCCGACCUAUCAAUUUAUAACUAAUUAUAUAGAAUCCUACUCUAAUUAGAUUUCAUCUUAACCAUCAUUUAAAUAAUAACCGAAUAUAUCUUAACCAUAACCGAAUAUAAUAAUGGAUAAUAUCAAAUAAUCUAAUCCUAAUCUAAUUAUCAUUAUCUCUAACACUCUCCCAAUAAUGCUAAUGUCCUUCACACCGAUCUUCUCUCGGCAAAAUAUGAAUUUCUCCAAUGGUAGUGGCUUUGUGAAAAUAUCGGUCAUCUGCUCCUCGGUUGCGUACUGUAUCAACUCGAAUCCUUCUCGUACUUUUUCGAUCAUCAACUGAAUCUGCCCAACCACUAUUAAAACAAUCAAAAUAAAAAUCGUUAGGAUUAGUAUACCACAACCGGUGGUCUCUUGUUCCUUUCAAAUCUCUCAAUAUCCUUUUCGCCUUAUAUAUCCACUUAAAUCCAAUAACUUCUUUAUCUAUAGGCGAUUCAUCAAACUCGUAGAUAUUAUUUUUCCUUAACGCUGCAUUUUCUUUGUUCGUCGCCUUAUACCAAUCAUUAGAUUUUGCUACCUUUUCGCAGUUUUGUGAUUCUCCACAUUGUGAAUACAUGCAUUGUUCGUAUAUUUCACUAAGUGAUCUUACUUUUCUUAGCAUCGUCUCUGGAGAAGUUUAUAGUGAAAUUCGCGGUGAAGCUUAUGGUGUUGUUUCCGUACUUGUCGUACUUUCACCAUUGUUUCUAUUUUCAGUUGCAGUUCCAUUUUCGAAUAUCAGAAGUGGAUUAUCCUGCACUUUUGCGCUCCAAUCCCAAGCUUUUUGUUCAUCAAAUAUGGCAUCACGAUUUAUAAUUAAAGAGUUAGUAGCAGGAUUAUAAAAUCGAUAAGCUUUACUUCUUUCGCUAUAUCCAACAAAAAUACACUUCUGACUAUUAUCAUCCAAUUUUUGCCUAUUUUGUGAUGGGGUAUGAACAAAAGAAACUAAUCCAAAAAUUUUAAAGUGUUUUACCUUCGGUUUCCACCCCGUCCAUACUUCAUAAGGUGUAAUAUUCUCCAGCGCUAAAGUUGGACUUCUAUUGAGAAUGUAUGCUGCAGUAGAUACCGCUUCUGUCCAAAAUUUGUUCGGGAGAUUUUUCGCUUUCAACAUGCUUUUUGCCAUCUUGACUAAACUUCGAUUUUUGCGCUUUGCAACACCAUUCUGCUGAGGUGUGUAACUGGUUGUCAACUGCCUGUGGAUACCAUUAGCCUUACAAAAAUUUUCAAACUUGUUAGAAAUAAAUUCUCCCCCUCGAUCUGUACGGAAGGUCCUAAUAUAAUAACCGGAUUCGUUCUCAACCAAAUUUUUAAAUUUCUGAAAAACAUCAAAAGCAUCGGAUUUAUUUUUGAUAAAAUAAACCCAAGUCAUCCGGCUAUAAUCAUCCACGAAAACUACAAAGUAGUAAUUGUUGCUGAGCGACGGUGUCUGCAUCGGUCCGCAUACAUCUGCAUGUAUCAAUUCUAAUGGUUCUUUGGCUCUUCUUUUGCUCUUUCUCGAAAAAGAGUCCCUGUGAUACUUUCCUAGCACACAACUUUCACAUACAGAACCAUUAUUAUGCACCAAAGGCAAACCAUCAACCAUAUUCUUUUUAUGUAAUAGAUCAAGUCUCUUAAAACUCAAGUGACCAUAUCGAUAGUGCCAUAACCAAUCAUCAUCUAGCACUAUUUUCAUUGCAACAUGAAUAGGAAAAACUUUAUUUUCUGUCAUCGGAACUUCAAAAAGUAAAUUCUUUUUAUCUUUAUCUCCAUAAAUUGUGCACUUAGAAUUUUCAAAAAUAAGCGAAUGGCCUUCUUUCAAAAAUUGACCCACACUAAAAAGAUUGGAAUUCAAUCCUGUAACAUAUAAGACAUUAUUUAUUUUUUGCAUUCCAGAAAUAUUUACCGCAAUUGUACCUCUUCCGUGCACGUCAUGGACAUAGCCGUCACCCAUUGUCACGCGGCCUUUAACCGAUUUGUCUAAAUUAAUAAAGUUUUCUUCUUUUCCUGUCAUGUGACUGCUACAACCACUAUCGACAUACCAAAUAUUAUUAGUAGUUUUUUCUAAUGAAUGACAUGCAAAAAGUACAUUAUCGUUUUCAUUCUUUUCACAAACAAAAUUCGCAUUCUGUUGUUUCAAUCGACAAAAGCGCUCGAUAUGGCCAAAUUUUUUACAAUAAUAACAUUGAAUAUUUUUACGAUUACGGGAUUGAUCGUUACCUCCGUAGGUUCUCUGAUUUUGAUUACAUGAUCUUUCAUCGUUUCUGUUGUUGAAAUCACCUGAUCUACCUCCGCGGCCUCUGCCCUGGCCACGACCACGACCUCUACCAUAGCCACCGUAUGCUGAAGCUUGAUAAUUAGAAGAAUUGGCACCAUCUUUUUCACUGCUUUUCGAUUCACUUUGAAAAGCAUGCUCAGACAAAUUUUCUGUUCUAUCUUUUCGUUCUUCAUGUGCUAAAAGAGAACUAAGAAGUUUGCUAUAAGAUAAUUUAAAUAAAUCUUUUGCCUCUUCUAUAGCAGAAACAACAUCACCAUAUUUUUUCGUUAGACUUCUUAAAAUUUUUUCGACUACUGUUUGAUCAGUAAUUUGUUCACCAUAUGUAUGCAUCAAGAUAACUAAUUCCAUAACNAAGAGAACUAAGAAGUUUGCUAUAAGAUAAUUUAAAUAAAUCUUUUGCCUCUUCUAUAGCAGAAACAACAUCACCAUAUUUUUUCGUUAGACUUCUUAAAAUUUUUUCGACUACUGUUUGAUCAGUAAUUUGUUCACCAUAUGUAUGCAUCAAGAUAACUAAUUCCAUAACUUUAGAAUAAAAGGUAUGAAUAUUUUUAUUUUCUUGCAUAAAUGAAGCUUCAAAUCUUCUUUUUAAAGUUUGAAUCUUAACUCUGAGUACCUUUUCGUUACCUUGGUAUUCCUUCUGUAAUAUAUCUCAUGCUUCCUUCGAUUUUGUAGCGCCGGCAAUGUGGAAAAAUAUCGAAUCGUCAACUGAUUGCUGAAUAAAAAAAAGCGCCUUUGCAUCUUUUUUCAGAUUCUCUCCGGUUGUUUCCUUGCAUCCUUUUUCAACAAAAUCUCAUAAAUCUUAGAAUCGCAGCAACGUCCGCAUCUUCACGCACCAAAAAUCAUAAUUGUCCCCCUUGAAUAUCGGGAAUCCUUGUGCAACUCCAUUAGCGCUGUUAAACGCUAUCAACACCUUCUCCUCUCGAAAUUCAGGCUCUGAUACCACUUGUUACGGUGAUGGGCCACCAACAAAUACGUUCUAUAUACUUAUUAUGGUAUAUACAGGUCCCCACAAAAAGUAAAAUAGAAAAAAUAAGAGAGGUAGAAGACAAAUCAAAGAAUCCGAUACGUUGUCAUGGAAGCAAAACAAAAUAACUUUAUUGAAGAAAAUAACUCAUCACCAUAUGCAACCUUCGGCGAGCGCUAAUUAAUUAUGGCGACUCCCGGCUUCAUUAACCAAAUAAUCCCGAGCUAUCUAUUUAUGACUAAUUAUAUAGAAUCCUACGUACUCUAAUUAGAUUUCAUCUUAACCAUCAUUUAAAUAAUAACCGAAUAUAUCUUAACCAUAACCGAAUAUAAUAAUGAAUAAUAUCAAAUAAUAUAAUCCUAAUCUAAUUAGCAUUAUCUCUAACACCAAAAUCGGCACUUAAGAAUCACAACUUCUUGGUAUGUUUAUUAUAAUUAUAUUCUUAAUUUUUACCAUUCUAGCAAUAGUAUGAUUGUAGUCAAGAUUCUUAAGCAAGCUUUUCGAUAGUGGGUCUCAUUGGUUGGCCCUCUUCUAUAUAUGAAUGGAGCUCCCAUUAUAAUAGUGGAAAUUUGUUGGUGUUAUAUAUAUUUGUUUUUUUUUUUUUUUUUUCAAUUGGGCAGUUUUAAUCAAAGUAAAAUUCCAUCAGUAACACUAGUUCUCAGAUUUUUGUACCAUCAUCUACUUAAUUUUGCUCCUUUUUCUUUGGGAGGUUGGAAAGAGAGGGUGUUUGGAGUUGUGGGAAUUUAACAAUCAAAAGGCUGGUGAGUCAUGAAGCACCAGUUGUUUUUUUAAUUAAAAGAUAUUAUUAAUUAACUGAAUGAGAAUUCGAACAACUUGGACAAAAAUAAUGCUAGGAUAAGACCCCUGAGAGGAGAUCACUUUCUUAUCAACACCUUUUCUUGUACUACUUUUAGCAACCUUGUGUAGUACUAUUCCUCCAUUGACCUAGUUAUCAUGCAUCCUUCAUUAGAACAAUAGAGAGAAAGCAUCUGAUUUCUAAAUGUUGUCUCCUUAAUGAUCAAAUUAACAGGUGAAAAAUAUAGGAUGAAAAUAAAUUCUUUGUAUCAUUUCAAUAGCAAGAAAGCUUCAUUUUCUGUAAUAAGGAAAGUAUCUAUUCCCCCUUUAGAAGACAAUAUUGUGUUGGAUCGUUUCUCUCUUAGAAUAAUUGUUCGGUGGAAUUAGAAUUUUUAUUGACCAGCUACUGGUUUUUAUUGUAUUAUUAUUCCCACAUAUAUAAUUCAUAAUUAUUAACCCAAUAAGUUUUUAAGUUGACAAUCACCUCGAUCUAUCUAAAAAAAAAUGUUUGAUAUUUGGAGUCAUAAUUUAUUUAGGUUAAAUGUUUACUAAAAUAGAUUUUAUAACUAGCAUCAAAUUAUUUGCUUAUGAUAAAUUAGUUUCCUUUUCCCCUCUGUAUUUGUAUUUUUUUUUUUUUUUUGAGAAAAAUGUAGCAUGUUACUUGUUUCAUUUCUUUUUUUCCUCUAUUCAUUUCUUAAUGGUUGUAUUUGGUGAUUAACUUAAAAGUACAAUAUUGGGUGGCAUUGAAGGAAAAGGAGGAGAAGAAGCUCUUCUACUGUCAGCAAGGAAAAAUAGUUUCAUUGCUUAGACAUGUUACACAACUACAGUGCACUGUUACAAGGCAUGCAUAAUACUAAUUCUACAUAAGGAACAACACACCUCUCUCUCUCUAAAGAUCUCUCUCUCUCUCUCAACUGUGCACAGGAAGAGAGAGAAGCAUCUCAUACUCUUCAUCAUCUAUCCUCCACAGAGCUUCAGACCAGUACUCACAUACAGGAGAAGGCAAAGAAGAUGGGCCCAAAUCACUACAACAUCCUUCUUUCAAUCCCUCGAAGCUCGCCCCAUCGUCCAUCUGAUCCAAUGCGCCAAUCUCGCUCCAAAUCUGAUCCAUUGUGAAGCCCUCAUCCUUUUUGAGCUCGACGGUCUCACUCUUCUUGUCUCCGAUGUCCAUAUUCUCUUCGCUAUUCGAGGAGGAAACAUUGCUCGAGGACGACGAAGGCGACGAGUUUGACACCGAUGUUCUCGUCGUCUUCCUCUCUUGCGCCUUCUUCCGCAUCCGGGUCCUCCAGUAGUUCUUGAUCUCGUUAUCGGUCCGCCCCGGAAGGCUUUGAGCAAUUCGAGCCCACCUAGAAAGAAAAACCCCGAUCUAAACCACCAUAACCAAAAGUAGGGACAAAGCUAGCUAGUGAUAUUGGCAGGGCAGCCAUCUUAUAGUUAGUUAAGUAGGUCUGAUAUUAUUUGCUCUAUCAAUAACAACUUCUGCUUUGUAGAUACUGCUAAGAAAACACUUCAAACCAUACCUAUUUCCCCAUUUGUCGUGGAGUUCGAUCACGAGCUCUUCCUCCUGGGGUGUCAUCGGACCGCGCUUUAGGCUGGGGUGGAGGUAGUUAACCCAGCGGAGCCUACAGCUCUUUCCUGAUCUACUGAGGCCUACAAACAUCAAGCCAUGAAAGGAGGUUAAACCCGAAAAUCAGAUCAAAUCCUUGUCCUCAUAGCCCACGUAGUUAGUUACUAAGCCCUUUUAAGUACAAGGGCUAUUCGAUGAUCCCCCUCCGCCGUGCAAACCUGAAACCUUUGCUAAGUAAUCCCAACGACGUUCACCGAACAAGCGCACAAAUCGUACCAGUUGGAGGUCUUCCUGCUCACUCCACGGGCCCCUCCGUGUAUUACCUUCUCUUGCCGCUACCAUCACCGUCGCUCGUAUCGACUCUCUCUCUCUCUCUCUCUCUCUCUCUCUCUUGAUCAGCUGCAAUGAACUCUCUAUGUAGGGUGAGGGCCUUUUGCCACCACUUGCAUUUUAUAGGCACUAGUAAAAAUGGCUGGUACACGACCCCUUUCUUUAUUAAAAGUUUAGCGUAGCUUUUAGGUCUCUCUAAGGUCUUAAAUAUAAUCUACCGACUGUCCCUAGAGCAAGUGGCAAAGGUUUAGUAGUUGGUAUCUGAGAUCCAAGUUCGAAUCCUAGUUGAUUCACAUUUCCAGCUAAGUUUAUUUCUAAAUGAAAUAAACGAAGCAGGUAGCGUACUACAUAUCUCUCAAAAAAAAAAAAAGAAAAAAAAAAAGUCUUAAAUAUAAUCUGAAGUGGUUAGUAGUACUCGUCGGUACUGAUUUUGUUAGCUUAUGAAUAGAAAAGGGCUCAUAUCAGCUUAUUCUUAUUGGUUCUUUAGUUCUUGGUGGUGUUAUGGCACUAGUAAAAUGGCCAAGGUAUGGCAUACGAUCGACCUCUUUUCUUUAUUAAAAGUUUAGUGUAGCUUUUAGGUCUCUCUAAGGUCUUAAAUUUAAUCUGAAGUGGUUAAUCGUACUCGUCGGUACUGAUUUUGUUAGCUUCUAUAAAUAGAAAAGGGUCCAUUCCAGCUUAUUCUUAUUGGUUCUUUAGCUCUUGGUGGUGUUUCUUGGGAAUUUUUUUUUUUAAUUCUAGAUAUGUAUAGGAAUAAAUAUUCAUUAUCAAGUGCUUUAGUUCUAAGUGCUACUUUAGUGUGUACCUGAUUGAGAAACGUGACAUUGAAUUGUUUUUUUUUUUUUUUUUGAGAGAGAGAUAGGUAGCUCGCUAUCCGGUUCGUUUAUUUUAUUUAGAAAUAAACUUAGCUGAAAAUAUGAAUCAACUAAGAUUCGAACUUGAGUCUCAGGUACCAACCAUCAAGUCCUUCGCCACUUGCUCUAGGAAAUACUUAAAAGUUAGGGUAGGGUUUAGUCGAGAGAUAUUUUUUUCUGCUCAAUUUUGGACUAGAAUAUCACCAUUUUCUAUUGUGUGUUGGUAAAAACAGUGGAGAUAUACUCAAAAAGAGAUAUAUGUUUCUGCUCAAUUUAGAGUACUAGAACUGUUGGUCUUUAUUUUAAAUUUGUGAUUUGAAACUUUAUUUUGGCCUAUGGGCCUCCCAAUUGGCCCAAAAUCAAAUGAGUGUUAGCUGAGCUUGUGCAUCACUUGCUACAAUGAAUUUAUUCCUACAUGGAAAACUCAUGACAUCUUAUAAUGCCUUGUAUAUUUCAUCAUCUCUAUGUCGCUUGCUUAGAUAACAAUGAGAAUGGCACAACCGACUAAACACGCGAGCACGAGCACGAGCACGAGCACGAGCACGAGCUGUGCCCGGCCAGGCCGCGCGCGGGGUUUUGACUACGUACCUGUUUCGGUUAACCUAUACUUAACAUUAACCUACCUUAUCUGGGUAUGGUCCAAACAACUAACCUGAGAGUGGUCAAGAUUGUUGUUGGGUCCCAACCUCCUAUUAGCCCUACCUGCUGCAGCUCGGGGCGGCACCUACAUCUAUGUAGGGAAGUGUACAGAGGGGAUACCCGACCUUCUUCUGAUACAUAUGCUUCUCCGAGCUUUAACCUACCUCUCUGAUCUUUAUUUUUUCUUCUGAUCUUUACUCCACUCGCUGGAUCUCUGAGAGCCCUUCUUAUUCAGUUUCCGUUAUCUUGGCGAAGUGCCAACGGGGGUAACUUUGCGCCACCUUGAUCUUUCCCUUUUCUUCUAAUCUUUACUCUAGUUGUUGGAUCUCUAAGAGCCUUCUUGGUUCACUUUGCGCUAUCUUGGAGAUGUGCCGACGGAAUAACUUUGCGCUAUCUUGGAGACGUGCCGAUGGAAUAACUUUGCGCUACCUUAGAGACAUACUGACAGGGUAACUCGUGGUCAUUAUAUCGCUAUAAGUGAUCAUCAGAGCCUCCCAUGUGCAGGGGUAACAUUACUUCUAGGAGAGUACCUACUUUUUUUCGACUCACAAGUCUCAUCUGAACUUUUUAUCUCUAUUAUAUUUUGUCAUUAAUUCUUACAUACGAUUUUUCAAAAAAUAAUGUUUUAACAUUUUCAAAUCAAAAUAUUUUAAAAUGGCCAAUUUCUACUAAAAGAAUAGAGUGUUUUCCAACAAGAACAUCAUCAAUCUCUAUUGUGUUUGGUAUUAGCAUUAUCAUCACUAUGUACCUAAGUAAACACCCCUUCAAUGUCUUUCGAUAAUUACUUAGUUAUUGUAGAGGCAAGAUAUUUCUCUUAAUUUGCACUAUGCUUGAAAGCUUUGAAACUUUCCGUAGUGUCAUCAUUUUUUCAAAAGAAAGGUAGUAUGCUAGCAGUUUUUUUUUAAAAAAAAUAUCAAUUGUGCUGGAAACGUAAAGUAUUUAUGCUUCACAUUUGGAACCUCAAAUAUUAAUCAUCAAAUUCUUCAAGGCUUGCGCUAGGAACAGCUAGUAUAUUCUUAAAGUUUCUGUAGGCCCUUUUAUGUUAUGACCUAUGAAAACUAAUACCAGAUAAAGUCAGGUACAACUCUCCUAGAGUAGGUCUUGUGUGCUAUUAGGAGCACAAAGGUCUCUGUACUUCUAAGCCGUUUUUGUUGCUGGAACUUUUGAAUUGACGAUCAGCUCCGUUAGCCUUGAUCUAGCAUAUUUAAAAUAUCUAGAAAAUAAAUUUUACGUUUUUUCGAUAUCAUUUAUCUAGCGAUUGAAAGUGUUCAAAAUCAACAAUUUUAAUGAUUGUCGUUGGUAAGUUUGACAGUGUAGAAGUAUUCAAAUCAAAUAAAAUUUUGAUAGAAAAUUCUUUAUACUAUUUACUAUAAAAUCAAUAUCUCUGAUAAAAAAUUUUAGUAUCAUAUCAUCACCACUUUUUGUAAGAUUUUUAUUUUCAGCUGUUGGUCUUGAACCAUUUUGAUCGCAAGGUAAACGAUAUCAAAAAACUGCAAAAUUUAUUUUCUAAAUACUUCAAAUACGCUAAAUCAAGUCUAAAAAAGCCGAUCGUCGAUUCGGAAGCUUUAUCAUCGAAAACGUCUUAAGAGCACGGAGGCCUCUGUACUCCUAAUAGCACACAAGACCUACUCAACUCCCCUAUAUAUAUGUUUUCUUGAAAAGCACUUUUGGGGAUUCAAUCCUUCGACCUUAGGCUUAUCAUCAAGCCCUUAACUAAUCGGAUUUAGUACGCGCAUGAGUCAAUAUGUUUUAACCCUUUAUAAAUGUGGGGGAUUUUACUCUAUUACUAUAGGUACUGGAACCUUAAUUUAAUUCUCUAUGCUUUUUCUUACACAGCUUUUGAUGUACAUGAAAACGUAAAUUGUUGUUUUUUCAUUGCCAAACAGACACCUGACAAAAAUUACUAGCAAUUUGUCAUUCACCCCUUCACUCUUUAAUAUAGUAGUUCUAUUUGAAUAAAUAAAAAGAUAACCACAUCAAAUAAGACCUAAAACUUUUAGUUUAAGAACUUCAAAGACUCAAAACUCGAAACUGAACCUGAAUCCGAAUUCAAACCAAAUCUAUAUAAAAGUUUAUUUUAUAUAUGUAAAAUAUAAUUUUUAGUAUUUAUUGUAAUAAUUAAUACAUAUUAAUAGUUUAAUUUAAUAUUUAGUGCAUAAGAUAAUCCGGUUCUACUUUUUGGUUUAGGAAAUGAAUUUUUGAUUAUUUUUUGUCGGAUUCAGUUUCGAAUUUAAAUUUGAUAGAAAUAUAUAAAACUUACCUUAACUAUCAUCCUUUUUUUUUUUUUAAGAGAGUGGCAACUGGCAAAGGGCUUAACGGUUAGUACCGAGUUCCUAAAUUCGAAGCCUAGUUGCUUCACAUUUCCAGUUAAGUUUAUUUCUAAAAAGAAAUAAAUGAAGCGGGUAACAUGCUAUAUACUUUUCUCUCAAAAAAAUAAAAAUUAUUUUCCAAUCUAAUCAUUAAAAAUUUUGAUAUUCCUAUCUAACUUUUUAAUUUAUUUGAUUUAAGCCACUUAGUGAUCCUUUAACUUCAAAACUUGAGUACGUAAUUUAUAUUUAGGGGUUUAGUUAUUAUAUUUUAUAUAAUUUACAUAAUUAUAAAUUCAUUAAAGUAAGUAAUUAUUAUAUAUACAAAUAUUAAAACAUCUUUCUCGAUUAGAUUAAAUUUUUUGAAGAAUAAUAUAUAUAUAUAUAUAUAUAUAUAUAAUAUAUAUAUAAUAUAUAUAUAUAUAUAUAUAGAGUCCGCGCUACAUAUAUAUCUUGAUGAGUCACGGAUCGUCUUCGUACUCAUUAGUCGUUUUCGAUGAUAGAGCUCCGAAUCGAUAAUCCAUCACCGUAAAAUUUUCUAGAGCAUUUAAAACUUCUAGAAUCAAAUUCAUAAUUUUAGACAUCAUUUACUCUUACCGAUCAAAAGCUCACAAAAUUGACAUUUUAACGGCUGUAUGGAAAUACUUGCUAGUUUAACGGUGCAAAGAAUCCAAAUAGGUUGAAUUUUUGAUAGAAAAUUCUAUUCACUACCUAUAUAAAGAUCAAUAACUCCGAUCUUAAAUUGAAGAAAUCCGAUCAUCCUUUUUUAAGGCGUCGUUCGAUUUGACCUGUCAUUUUAUGCUCGCUUGAUGAACAUUAUUAUGAUUUUCGAAAAAUUACAAAAUUUAUUUUCUAGAAGUUUCAAUACUCUAGAUCAUAUUUAACAGAGUGGAUCAUCGAUUCGAAAGGCUCCAUCAUCGAAAACAACUUUAGGUACGAAAGACCUAAUACGUACUCAUAAAGUAUAGCAGCUACUAUAUAUAUAUAUAUAUAGAGAGUAGGGCUAGAAUACUUGUAAAAGUAUCAUGGGGGUGAUAUUUGUGUGUUUUUAACCCUUGGAUGGAGAAUGUGAGAUUGAGAUGAUGGUGGAGUAGGUUGUGGUAGGUGGUGUAUGGUGGAAUAGUGUUUAAUUCAAGGGCUAUUAAGAUAAUCAAAAGUAGAUCAAUUUGAUGGCAUUAAAAUUUUCUAAUAGACUCAUGGAUGAUGGAUACUUAUAAAAGUAUUGUAGCCCUACUUUUAUAUAUAUAUAUAUAUAUAUAUAUAUAUAUAUAUAUAUAUAAAAUUUAACGUGAUAUAGGAGUAAGAGGUCUUGAGUUCGACACGUCAUGGGUAUACAAAAAAGUUUCAAGUCCAGACUUGAAAUGGAUUGUUAAAUGUAAAAUAUAGAAACAUCAUUUUCUUCUGACUAAGUUUUUAGAAGAUAACGAUUGUUUCACAUAUAUAAUUGAACAACAAGUAGCUUGAAUUUUGUAUCCAAAUAGGCAUCAAAUUAAUUACUUAACACCAAAUAAAUUAAAAUAUUAAUAUUAAAAAUAAAAUUUUAAAAGAUUAAAGAAUCGUAUUGAAAUAAUUUAUAGUUCAGAAAAAUUCUUAAUAUUUUUAUCUUUGAAUUUUCAUAUCCGGUCAAAUUCAGGUAUGACUUGGAAUAUUUAUUUUUAUUUUUUCAUUCAGAUUCAGAUUGAGGUGACAAAUAAGUUGAAGAGAAAAGCAACGCUUAUCGUGUCAUGUACAGUCCUCGCCAUUCACAUUCAGUCCCUUCCAUCAAAAGUGAGAGAGAGAGAGAGAGAGACACGUGGGAUCCCCGAUUUGACGCCUCGUUGCAAAACCACGUUCCCUCGACGCAACAAUGAUUAGUCACCUCAAAACAAAAAUAAGGAAGGAAUAAAAAGAAAAGGUAAAAUUCAACGCUACAGAUAAGUUGGACAUCAGUUUCAGAAGAGCAUUUCUUAUGAGCUUUCCAAAUUACUAGUUCUAUAAAUUAUUAAUGUACUAGAAUAAAUAAUAGAUUUAAUACAUACAGUAGAGCCACUAUAUUUUUGAAAAUAUAUAAAAGAGUUCAUAUUUUUAACUUUUUGGUUCUUGGAUCAACCUUUUUUACCAUUUUUGACAUUUGGAGUAAUAUUAUUACCUUUGAGGGACCACACAAUCCUAAAGGGACCACUCAUUCCUAAUAGGGACCACUAUCAUCCCGAGCCUACAAUUCUUGAUCCAAGGGCAAAACAAUCGAAAACACCAACAUCCUUAUGUUUUCAAUAGAAUAGUAGUUCUACACUAUAUAUAUAUAUAUAUAUAGUUGGACUGGGCUACUAUUAGUAGCAAAAUUCCAUUGUUGCUACCAAUUUUUUAACCUUUGGAUCAACUCUUUUCAUUAUUUCUAACAAUUGGAUUAAAUACUAUAACCCAGUGGGGACCACUCAACCCUAGGGGGACCACUCAACUCUAACCGACGUAUAUCAUCCUGACCCUACAAUUUUUCAUCCAAGGGUUAAAAACUUGAUAGCAAAAAAGAGCGAUUUACUAUUAAUAGUAUUCCAGCCUAAUUCUAUAGUAUAUGAAGUAGGCCUGGAUACUAUUAAUAGUAAAUCGUCUCUUUUUGCUAUCAAGUUUUUUAACCCUUGGAUGAAAAAUGUAGGUCAGUCGAGUGAUAUACCGUCGGUUAGAGUAGUGGUCCCCCUAGGGUUGAGUGUCGCCCACUGGGUUAAAUAUAUUUAAUCCAAUUGUUAGAAUAAGAAAUAUUUGAUCCAAAGGUUAAAAAAUUGGUAGCAACAAUGAAUUUUUGCUACUAAUAGUACCCAGUCCAACUCUAUGUAUAUAUAUAUAAUAUAUUAUAUACUAUAGUAUAUAAUAUAUUAUAUAUAGAGAGAGAGAGAGAGAAGAUGAGAGAGGCUAGACCGGUAUACUAUCGUAGCACGAGACCUCCGUGCUACCAAGUUGUAUUCAAUGAUGCGCUUUCGAAUCGACGAUCGUCUCCGUAAGACUUAUUCUAACUUAUUAAAAUUAUUUGAAACUAAAUUUCAUAAUUUGUCGACAUUUAUUGCUAGUGAUCAAAAGGUCUCACAAAUUGAUCAUAUUAUGGUAGAUGUGAUAUGUUUGUAAAUUUAACAGUGUAAAAUAAUCCAAAUCUAAUGAAAUUUUUUAUAGAAAAUUUUUUUCACUAUUUAGAGUAAGAUAAUACCUCUGAUCUUAAAUUCAAGUCUUUUAUAUCAUUUUUUAUGAGAUUUUUAUUCUUACGUCAUUUUUAGACUACUCGUUUGAUAGCUAAAUGAUGCAAAAAAAUUAUAAAAUUUAGUUUCCAAAUAAUUUCAAUUGUGUAUCGAUCAUAGUCUAAUGGAGUCCUGAUCGUUCGAUUUGAAGCUCGAUUCAUUGAAACAAUUAACUUGUGUACUACGAAUGCUCCAGUGCUAGCCUGAGAGUAUACCAACCUUUAUAUAUGAUAUAUAUAUAUAUUAUAUUAUAUAUAUAUAUAUAUAUAUAUUUAUAUAUAAGUUAUAUAUAUAUAUUAUAUAUUAUUGAGUGUAGUGCUUACUAUUCAUCUGAAGCAACGAGCUUUCCGUGCUUCCAGCGUUUUCGAUGUUGCGCUACUUCCAAAUCGUCGAUCGUCCCGUUAAAUUGAUUAUGAGUAUUAGUUACCUAGAUAUAAAUUUAGGAUUUACGGUUACUCAUUUGCCUAUGAGACGAAGGUCUUCAAACCUCAAACGCUGAAAAUAAAAUAUUUUACAAUAAUGUAAUAAUUAUGACAUUAAAAUUUUAAUCAAGAUAUUUGAUCUGUUAAUAUAGUAAUAUCAAUGAAUUUUUCUAUCAAAAUUUCAUACGUGAUUUGGAUAUUUCUAUCACCGUUAAAGGCUUGCAAACGAGGUUCAUUACGGCUCAUGAAAUUUCUGUUUCGAUAUUUAGAGCCCAUUCGAUCACUAAGGGUCAAAUGAUCAUCGAAAAAUAAGAAAUUUAUUCUAGGUACAUCCAAAUACUCUAGAUCAAGUUUAUCGGAGCCCGAUCGAUCGAUUCGGGAAAUAGUCGCAACAAUCAAAAAAAGAGCUGGAAGCACGAAAGGCUCCUGCUACCCUGAUACAUAUGUAGCCUCACCUAAUUAUAUAUAUAUAUAUAUAUAUUAUAUAAUAUACUAUAUAUAUAUAUUUAUAUAGAACUAGCUACUAUGCCUAUAUAGCACAAAGUUUAUUGGCGCUACCGGAAAUUUUUGGCCAUUGUGAAUUAAGAGAUGUGCGGUAGAGAUUGUGGGCCCCUUUAGUGGUUGAGUGGUCGUUGGUUGAAUAGUAUGUUAUCUAAACUGAUGAAAAUUGAUCAUAAAGAGUAGAUCUACGGCGUGAAAACUUGUACACCAUUUGCUUCGUUUGCAUAUUAAUAGGAUAGUGCCAACAUCCGAUAUAUAUUAUUAUAUAUUAUAUAUUAUGAUAUAUUAGUUGAGCUAUGAAUAUCGUUUACAAGAUCUACAAAUCAUGUGGCUUAUUAGGUUUUUUAAGUCAUUGGAUCUAACUUUAUUGAUUAUUAAUAGCCUUUGAUUAAACACUAUUCCACUAACCACCACCUUACCCACCAUCAAUCACCUUUCAACUCUCUACAUCUCUCCAUCCAAUGGCUAAAUAACACACAAGAUAUUACCCCUGAUAGCUUUACAAGUAUUCUAGCUUCUCUUAUCACACAUAUAUAUAUAUUAUAUUAAUAUAUUAUAUUAUUAUAUAUUAUAUAUUAUAUAUAUAUAUAUAUAUAUAUAUUAUAUAUUAUGUUGACUUAAGAAUACAUUCAAAAUGCACUCAUAUGAGGUGGUGCUUUUGAGUUUUUAACUAUUGGAUGGAGGAAUGUAAGGUUGUGAUGAUGGUGGUAGGUGGAAUAGUGUUUGAUCCAAGGGCUAUUAGUAAUGAAGGAGUAGAUCCAAGGGCUAGAAACCUAAAAGCACCAAUGGGGUGAUACUUUUAAAAGUAUUCUAGCUCAAUUAUAUAUAUAUAUAUAUAUAUGGGCUUUUUUUGCAUUUGGCCCUCUCAAAAAAGUUUAUUUUAAGAAUAGCUCCACCAAAUUUAUAAUUAUAAUUUUGGCCUUAUCCCUGCGACGCAAGCGCCACAUAAGCGCCACACAAGCAGGCUAGGCUGUAGGGUAUUAAGUUGAAUACGGUGAAUCAUUCACCGUGUUUGGACAUGGUGAAUGGUUCACCAUGUGAUAUCGUAUAAUACACUAAACACGGUAAACCAUUCACCGUGUUUGGACACGGUGAAUGGUUCACCGUCUUUAGACAUGGUAAACCAUUCACCGUGUUUGGACACGGUGAAUGGUUCACCGUCUUUAGACAUGAUAAAUCAUUCACCGUGUUUAAACACGGUGAAUGGUUCACCGUGUUCAGUAGAACUUGAGCCCAAGCAUUGCAAAAUUCAACACAACAAAACAAUAAAUUCAACAUCAACAACAAACAACAAAUCUAACACAACAACACAACAAUAAAUCUAACGCAAUAUCAAUAGAGUAUCAAUAUCAUAUCAUCACAACAAAAUAUCAAAAAAUAGAGCAAGUUUUUUAAUAAUAUAGAAAGUUCUGUGCAAUUUAAAAUUUACAAAAAUAUAACAUCAUAUUCUCCUCAUAGUCUCUCAACCACGUCUACCUACAUGUCCCUACCACGGCCGUGACCACGAUCACGAUCAACACCAUGCUCAUCAAAGGGCUCUAUGACUUUCGACUAGUCAAGAUGUUCGAUAGCAGUACCCUCAACAACUGGCUGAGUGUCCUACGUUUUGAUCAUCCGUCUGAUCUCGUGCUCAACCAUAGCAGGUGUCGAUAGUAUGUCUAGCCGUGGAGAAGCUAAAGAUGAGGGCUGAUCUGCGUGGAGAGACUGCAACUGCCGUUGGCGCCUACGAUAAACAAUAUCAGCCGGUCGAGGUGAAUCCUCUAGUAUUGGUACUGUGUCUGGAUAAUAAUGUGACUCCUCUAUUGGUGAAAAUGGCAUCGGCGAACUAUACAAUGGUACAUGGCCCGACAUCAAUGGUACACCAUAUUCUGCUGGCUGUGGAGGUACAGUGUCUAGAAGCGUAGAUAGAGUCUCCAAAACUGCUUCCAUUUAAUUGGCAACUUGUGACACGGUUUCUAAUACUCCACCAUAUAGAAUAUCUGGCAGGACACGUCUAAUCGUAUAAUGCGAUUUCUGCACGACAUCGACCUGAAAUAAAAACACCAUCAUAAAAAUUACACUAAAAUUUUUUUAUAUAUAAAAAUAAAUAUAAAAAAUAUUAUAUAUUAAAAUCAUAUCAAUACUCUCUCGACAUGUUCACAUGGCUUAUACGCGAGGGGUAGGCGCUAUACUGGCCUAGAUAUCCAUCUUUUAGUGAUACUCCAAUAACACUGCAUGUAAAGAGUAGUAGCUCGUAUAGAAUUUAGAUCUACUAUGUCCAUCAAUCGAUCAUUCUAACGUUGAAUAUAUGAGUAUGAUACGCCGCCCAAUUCUCAUCUGCUCUAUCUCAUGAAGUGAUGCGAGAUAUGGCAACCACUGCUUCAGGUAUAUGCUGUAGAAAAUCAAAUUGUCGAAGCACAUGAUCUAGAAAAUGCAGCUUAAUAAUAUGGAAGCUGUCACGCCCCGGGACAGGCAGUGGCCCUCCCGGUAGCGUGCCCAAACCCGCCAUAUGUCAACACAUAUAAGGCGUCUAAAAACAACAGUGGAAAAUAAAGGCAAGAAAUAAUCUACAACUAGAGAUAUCAGAGCAAAUAAAGUUCUAUCAUCUAAACCAGAGUAAAAAGAUACAUAGCUAAACCAUAAAAGAAAAUAUAAGUAGUACAAUAUCAGUAUCUAGUACAAAAAUGGUGGUCUCUAGUACAUGGGUAAACUCUCAACCUCUCACAAAAUAAAACGUCGAGAGGUAGACCACCUAUCGAAUCGUCUUCGAAGGAAGCUAGCUCGAAGCAACUCCCUUCCCGCGGUCCCUAGCCUCUCCCGGCGUGGAAGGCUCUAAAAACAAACAUAAAACAGAGGGCGUGAGAACUAUAAUUUAUAGUUCCCAGUGGGCAAUUACUGACCUCAGCUCAAUGCACCACUAGACCCCAAAAGGAAAGGGUAAGUAACGACAAUAAUAAUAAGCAAUAGAAAUAACGAGUAAUUUGCAUUUAUGAAAGCAUAAUGAAAAUGCUAAUCUAUUACUUGCAAUUAAACAUGGCAUUUAUGUAAUGCACAAUUAUCUUGUCAUGAAGAAUAUGUCUCUACUUAGCCAUAAAUAAUGUCAUGGGUUGCUUAAUGAAAUUAUGAGGAUUAUCCUUUAUCAUAGUAACAUUGUUUAUAUGAAUGCAAGUAAGCAAUGUCUCCUAGCAUACUACAUGUAUGUAUGUAUACCCAAAGUCCAAAUCUAUACUAGAAGCAAGUCCGAGUAAUCCAACUACUACUCUCUAUUUAGUAGUGAUUAUAACAAACUCAUCCCGUGUCGAUUUCCAUUUCCAAUUAAGGACCUACCAAAGGUAGUCCAGCUUGUGCCGCCUAAGUGUCUGUGGUAGCCCAACAUCCCUACUCUUGGAAUGUGUCUGUCCCACUCGACCCCGUAGGCUUCUCAAUACCGCACGAGCGAACAUAAGUCGCGUAGGCUAACUCCGGAGUGCCGGCUUGUAGGGAGCGACCCUCACAAGCAUGUGCGAAUGAGCACAAAUGGCAAACAAGCAUAGUCCAAGUCUCAAGUAUCCAAUCCUCAUGUCUCUAACAAGGUAUCGUCACUAGCAUCCCGAAGAUCUAGUUUAAGUCACAAAGCGAAGUUCCAAACACUCACUACACCUAGUGCCUCUUGAUGACACUUAGGCAAUUUGAUGUUCAACAUAAGCCAAAUCCCGCAAUGGCUCUAACCACUAGGUUCACACAUGUCCCGAGCUCAAUGCCGCUUGAUGACAUUAGUUUUCUAAUUCGCAUACAUUCUAGUUCAAUACCUCUAUAUGGCAAUCUUGUCAUCUUUCAUAUCAUAAUUAAAUCUAAGUUUAAAUGCAUGAAUCAAGACUCAUUUACGCUAUAGAAGCAUGGAACCAAGUCUCGUGUAGAAUGCCAAAUGCAAACCAAAGCUCUCUCAAGCAACUCUCUACUACAUAGAGGUCCAAAAUUUUACUAUAUGCAAUAUAGGCAUUUUAAGCAUUCUAAAAUUCACAAUAAAUAUAUAUAACAAGAAUAUGCAUGCUUUUUCAACUAACGAUGCUUAAUUCAUCACAAAUGAGAAUUUCUCAUUGUGUGGCUAGGUCAAACCCACCGAAUCGUCACGUAGCGCCUCGUUUUGCCGAACGAAGUUGUCCACGAGUCCCAAAAUACCCUAAAAGUAUUGAGCGAAGAGAUACACGGGCAUUACGAUCAACUAUAAGAUCAAACAUUAACCUAGAAGCAAAAAAGGCCAAAACUCACCUCAAGAAAAGAAAUCUCUUCCAAAGCUCCAAAAGAGAGCUAGAACCCUUCCAAUCCAACCAAAUGGAAGGUUCUAAUCCAACUAAUUUAGCCCCAAAAGCCCUAGAUCAAAAAAGCCCAAAUCAAACCCUAAGUUUCCAUUCUAGGGUUCCAAAGGUAAAAUCUACUAAAACAAGGAUCAAAGGGUAGAAUCCAAGUACUAAACUCCCAAGAUGCCUCCAAACAAGCUCCAAAUCUUCUAGGGUUGAAGAUUGGUCCACCACCAAGCUCUACAAGCAAGCUCUAAGCCUUGCAAAGGUGGAAAGGGGAGGAAGGGGUUGAGCUCCAAGCUCCCUCAAACAAGUUCCUCUUCUUCUUCUCCUCCUUCUUCUUCUUCUUCUCUCUCUAGAAGGUGUAGGGAGAGGGUGAGAAUGAGAAAAUGAGAGAGGAAAGAGGGGGAAAUGGCUAAUAAGCCCAUCUAGUGUAACAAAAUCCAGUGAGGCCCCUCAAAAAAAUGAUAUUGCAUCAGCCCGGUCUGGGCAGUUUUCGCCCAAAGGGACCGGUCUCUCCCCAGUAGGGACCGGUCUUUCGCUGCGAACCCGAAAAACCAACGUUCGGGAACCGGUCUCUCCCCGCGCGGGACCGGUCUCCCACUGCGAAGACGCACUCGGGGACCGGUGUCGCCUGCCAGGGACCGGUUGCCUCAGGGCUGCCACAACACUGCUCACUGGGGGACCGGUCUCUCCUUCCAGGAACCGCUCCCCGAGAGUAAAAACUCUCAGGACUUGUCCAGAAUUUCAGUUUUUGAACUUUUUAGGUCGGAAAACAUUCUACAACUCUCCACCAAGUUUGGAAAAGCUCGAAACACAUCCAAUCACUCGAACCUCACAAUUUGGAAAAGUCCAGUGUGUCACAGAAGCAGACUAAGGUGGUCCUAGAUCGCCAAACCUGGGACCCCGCUACACAAAAAAGUAAGUGUCUCUAAUACUGCAUCUGUAUAAGGCUCCAUUUAAUCUAUUGUGAAAAAUACAUAUGGUUAUUUAUCUUCUCCUUUUUAAAUAAAAUUUUUAGUUAUAAUAAGAUUGAAUUACUUUCAUUUAUCUGAAAAUUUAGCUACUGAUCAAGCUGAUCACGAUAAAAUUCAAUGUAAGUAGUCCUAACAUUAUCCUAAAAAAUCAGCCUACUAUUCCACCUGAUUCAUUUAUAUCAUAUUAGGCAUGAUUAAAUAAUAUUUAGAAACUUAAAAUGAAAGAAAAAAUACUCACCUACAAUCUAAUGGCAUGUUGAGAAGUUCAGGCUGCAGUCCAAUUAUCUCAGGGCGACCAAUGUGCAGGUGGUCCCAUGCCCAUAUCUAUACAAAAAGAAAGUUCGAAAUUACAACAAAAGUCAUGACUUAUAAAAAGCUAGUAAAGCAAUGUAUCUGAAGUAAUGUCCCAAAACGACAACACUCCACCUUCCCCCUCAUGCAAGCAUUUUCUAAUGCCCGAUAGAGAUGAGCUAGCAUAGCUGCACCCCAUGCCAACUCACCGCAGACGUCAAAAUCCUCUAACAAUGGCAACUAUUUCAAAUGCACUCUAUUUCCGCUUGGAUUUAGCAACAAAUUACACAUCCUAUCUGAAAUAGUAUAUAUACUCUAGUUGUAGCUCGUACAAUAGCGGGAGUUGCAUCUAGGGCGAUAUCAUAAAAAUGGUGGUAUAAUCAGUCUAUCUUUAUCUCACCACCUCUAAUAUUCUCAGGAACUAGCCCGAGAAAUACCUCACAGAGCUGUGGCAACUGACUUGACGCCCCUCCGGUCAUAGCCCCACUAUGGACGCAGAGUCCUGUAAUAACAGUGACAUCCAUCAAAGUAAUAGUCAUCUCCCCGUGUCGCACAUGGAAAGUGUAAUGUACCGAACUCCUAAAGUUGUGAAGUUUCGAUGGGAACAAGCUUAAAAAGCUAGUAGAUAAGUUCCGGCAAAGUUUGGAGAGCAUUUGGGUAUUUUGGAAGCAAACUAGACUUGAAAAUGGGCUCCGAAAGCUGAAAUUUGCAUAAGUUGCAGAAUUUGUAUUGUGUACCGGUGAUGGAAAACUGGGUACCGGUACUGGACUGGCCUGGUACCGGUACGCGAGCCCGAGUAACGGUGCGCAACCUGCCAGAACGCUGUUUUGAGAGGUAAAAGUGUAAUUUCAGUUGGGGGCUUAUAUAAGGUGAACCGCACAAACACACACACAUACAGAGAGAGAGAGUGGAAGAGCUCAUCUCUCUUCCUCUCUUCUUCCUCCUCUUAAAAUUGGAGAUCUUGGUGGAGAUCGAGUUCGGAAACGCGUUGGAAGAGGUGGUUCGAGCUCUCGGCGCUUGGUGGCUCGGUGUGCUUUCGACUCGAGGUUCGCAAAUGGGUUGAAAGGUUAGGGUUCGGUUUAAAUCCCUAGAAAUGAGGUUCUAGUGAACCCUAGAUGAUUCUAAACUAGGUUAAUCAUGGUUUCUCCAUGUGUUUUGGGGGUUUUGGAGAAAUGGAAAACCUAGGGUUAGAAUUGGGGGUUUUAGGGUUUGAGCUAGGGUUUUGAAUUUAAACUUUCCAAAUGGAUUUCUAGCAAACCCUCGGCUAAUCUAAGCUACAAAUGGUAGAGAUUAGCAUGUAGAUUAUGGUUUUAUCAUAAGUUUGAAAAACCCUAGGUUAAAAAGAGAGGUUUCUUGGUGGAGGGUUCUAAAAAUAUUUUAACCCUUUGGAAACCUAAUUGGGGGUUAGGAAAUCUUAUGAGGCUAUUUGAUUUCAAGUAGAGAGAUCAUUUAGUGGUUCAAAAAUGGCAACGAAGGAUUUCUUGUAUAGGGCAAGGAAAGUUUGGAAGUCCAAGUAGUUGGCCUAAUUGCAAGUGACUACAGGCAAUUAGGAAGCUUAAAAGGUGGGUUGUGCUUCACCGAAGUGACUAAAUCGCUUCCAUGUCGAAGUGGAGUAUGAUUUCUCAUUGAUGCAUAUAAUGGUAGUUUAUAGCAAUUAUGAAUACAUGUGAUAGAUGCUAAAAUAUGUAUAAACUGCCAUUGGAUGAUGAUAUAGGCAUGAUCAUGAUAUGCUAGAGAACAUAUGCACGUAACGGUAGUUAAUUACAUAUAUGAAUGCGUGAGGUAGAUGCCAUGUAAAUGCGUGAGAUGAUAUGUAUUAACUACCCUUGGAUGUCAUGUAUAUGAAUGUUGACAUUAUGAGAACAUGCUAGAUGGUAUAACAAUGUUGACAUUGUGAGGAUAUGCUAGAUGAUGUAUGCAUGUUAACAUACUAUAGAAUAAAUGCUAGAUUAUUUGCAUAUGGACAUAUUGUGUAUAUAUGUUGGAUUCAAGUAAAUGUGAACUUGGGUCGGUACUCUAGGUUGAUAAGAGAACUCGACAUUGGGAAACAAGAAUAUGUAACUAUAGUACUCGAUGUGGACAAUUAGGAUGUCAAGUAGAUCGAGUGGCAUUGAACCUAGUGUUAUUAAACAUAGGUUGGCAUUGAACCUAGUGUUAUUAAACAUAGGUUGGAAUUAUCAUUAAACCUAGAGUCAAGAUCUAGGUAGAAGUGACGUAGAACCUAGCGUGACAUUGAACCUAGGUUAUGACAUGUAGUGACACCUAGUGUGGUUGAACCAGGUUGUGGAAAUAGUGGUAGAAUGACCACUAGGAUGUGCAUGGGUCGAACCUAGAUAGGUCGACAGUAUAGGGUGUGUAACUAUCCUUGAGACUUGGAAAGUGGAUUCCAGAAUUCCAGGACUUGUGAACUUGACAGUUCUUGGCCGCGGGUGCGUGUGGCAUAUUCCCCUCCCACCGGAAGAACUUUGAGGAUAGGAUUAUGGAAGAUUCUUGGCCGCGGGGGCUGUGUGGCAUAUUCUCCUCCCACCGGAAGAAUCUAGAAUCGCUAGGGUGUGUGUGGCAUAUUCCCCUCCCUAUCGGGGGUCUUGGGCCGCGGAUGUUAGUUGUAUGCACUAGAAACCUAUCAGGCUGACGCAUUUUAUUUUCUAUGGGACAUAUUUUUGUACUUAAUCUUUAUUAUUGGGCCUUUUAUUCCAUUCAUAUUAAAUGUGUCCAUGAAUUGUCCUUUGAAUUAAUAAGAUGAUAAUAUAUAUUCUCAAGAGUUGAGAAUUUGAGAUACAUAUUAUUGGUGAUUAAUUCAUAAAUGCUCUCAAUCGGAGAAUCAUCAUGGGGACGAUAAUUGAUCCGAUAAGAUUUAUAUGUGUGCCGCUUCCCUUUUGGGAUGACGAAUCUCGAGUCAUCAGUGUGGGGACACUGGAGCGAACAUGCAGGUGGUUGUUGGAGAACAACGGUACUGAGCGUGACCAACUACGAACAGUUACAUGGAUGUCUACUCAUUCGUCAGUAACUGGUUCGAUGUUGCAGUGGUACAACUGAUCCUUAGACCUGCGACACCACGGUCAUUCAAUAUGAGGCUACUGUAGUUUGACUAUGCAACAAACUCUGAUCCUAGCCAUGGGUCUUAGUAGUAUAUGUUGGCUGCAGUCGGUUCAUAUCAGGAAUGGGUGUGUGUUUAUAGGGGAUCUAUCGCUCUCGGUAGAGAGAUAAUUAGUUCUAUGCUAUUUGUAAGGCAAAGCUCAGAAAUCCUCGGCCGGGGUAAUAUGGUGUAUGGAAAGAUGUUUCCAAGAGUAACCAUAAGAGCUUCUGUCUGAUCAAAUUUGUCAUAUGACGGGUGAUGGGGUUUGACGAAUAUUCCAUGACCUCCACUCAGUUGGAACUAUGCGAUAGAAGGAUUGUAUUGUACGGUAACUGCACCUAGAGGUUCAGUCCGAUAUUCACUUCUGACUGGAUUGCCACUACAUGCUGCUAGGCGUCACUGGUGGAUUGUGGGAACCAAUAGAAAUAAUUAUUAACAAUUAAUUAUUCUAUUAGGGUAGAGUCAAAAGAGUUUGAGCCAUCGAAAGGAGUUUCGAUGAUGAUGUAGAUGGAGAUCGCAUCAUAUCUCACUACCAGACAGAAUUGAACCUAUUAGGUCACACACAUAAGAAAUCGCGCAUGAUCGAUAUUUAGGAAACGAUAAAAGAAGUUUAUCAGAUGGAUUAAUUACAAUUAUAAUAUAGUUAAAUACUAAAGUUUACUAAUUUAUUAGUAAAAGGACUAAUUUGUAAUUAUUGUAAAUUAGAGGUAUUUAGGUGUAAAAGUUGUAUGGUGUAUUUACUAAUCGUUAGUAAAUAAUAUGAGGACUUAUGUGUAAAUGUUACACACGAAUCGAAUUAGAAUUAGGAUUCGGAAUUCGGUUAAUAUCAUAACCAACUUGUGGGUUAAUGGAUAAUCCAAUCGGAAUAGGAUUUCGAUUAGGAUUAGGAUUAGGAUUACGUUAGGGUUUUCUCAUUAUAAAUAUAUGUCAUAUGACAUAUUAAAAAUUAACGAAAAAAUUAAUGCAAAGAGAAAAAUAAAACCCCAGCCGUCAAUCCUUUUUCUUCCUUAAGUUCUCCAUAAUUAAUCCAUCGGUUUUGAUCUUCAAAAGUUGCUAGCACGUCUAGAAGAUUGAUUCAUCUUCCUCAAGUCGACGCAAGGGUUAAUUCGUGAUCGGAUCAUGGAUUGAAGCGGUGGUCUAAUUCAAUCGAGGGCGUGAUUUCGUGUGGACGCGAGUAGAGGCCGGGCACGUGCCCGGCUAACUGAGGACGAACAAAUUUUAACAACGAUUGUCAACUUCGCGGUGAUCUCGACCCGCGCGAGGUAAAAUAAAAUAAAAUAGAUCCUAUUUGAUUAGAUCAAUUAGAUCUAUUAUUAAUGAUCUAAAACGAAACACGAAUGUACACAUGUUGCGUACAUAUGUUUUUCUAUUUGGUUUUUUCAAGAAAAUUUUAAUUGUGUUAUUUUCUUCCGUUGCGUACACAUGUUUUUCUUACAGCGGGUGCAUGUGGCAUAUUCCCCUCCCACCGGAAAGAUCCCUGACCACGGGUGUACGCGGUUCUUCGCGACCCGUUGGGCGAUGUGGCUUGUGGAUUUAGGGCUGAGGUGCAUGUGAGACGUCCUUCGCCUCGAGCCCGACAGAGCGCGGUAUUCCGCAAUUGAUUGACACGAGGCCGAGUCGGGUAGCUUGUUAAGGUAGAUGAAACCUUAAGGGUUAAUGGUAAAUAACAUGGAUCUAAGGUAGUAGAACCUUAGAAGCUAGUUGGAUAUGAGCUAGAUAGCGAGAUAGAAAGUAGUAUCGGAUAAUCUACUAGUUUGUGCAUUAGUUGCAUGGUUGCAUAAAUUACAUUAUUGCAUUUGUGAGGCAAAAGCAUGAUAAAUGUUAGUUGCAUAAAUUAUAUGAGGUUAUAUCUAUCUGUUGGACUAAUAUGUUGGGGAGUGACAGAAAGUCUGCGUCUCCCUCCACCACCUCUCGACUAAUGAUUCCAAUAAGGACUUAUCUAGUUGUAGGCACCGCAAUCAUAAUACAAAGUAAAAUCCUACUCGUCGCAAUAGGAUCCAAAACUACAUGAUGCUCAAUUUGUCAUCUGUUCAAUUUGCUGUCAUGCUCCGUAAAUUGAACAGGAGAAUAACUCUGCAUGAUAAUGAAUGUCAGUUCAAUAUUAGUACAUAGUUUACUAGUAAACUUGAAAUGUUUUAAAAAAACAUCACCUCCUGUCUAAUCAAAAUGGAUUUAUGGUGUGGCUGUGUCACGCCGUAGGACCGAUCCAUUUGGCCGGUUCGGGCGCGUCGAACAGACGCCGAACGGACAGCACCCCCCCUGUCCGCCCAAGGCUCAACAAGUACAGAUCAUGUAAUACCCGUAUCUAAUUAAUUUAAAUUAGAAUUUAAAUAUGUGGUCAUGAUUGUAGUUUUGUGAUAAACCCGUUAUUAAAUAUUUUUUAUUUAUUUGUACUGUCGGAUUAAGCGGAUUCGGUUGGAUUUGAUUUUCGGAUUAGUUAUACUCUAAUACUAGUUAGAGUAGGAUUGAGAUUUAGCCCUAAUUAAUCACCUAUAAAUAGGUAAUUUAGGGAGGGCGUACGGCCAAAAAUAUUAUAAUAAUAAAUAUUGUUGCCGGAUUCUUUGUGCAAGCGUGGCCGACGGCGAGAGCAAGAUCCGACAAUCGUGGGGGAGAGGAAAAAGAACGAGAGUGAGGUGAGUCUCCAAUAAUUAGUUUUCUCGUUUUUUUCUCUCUUUUCUUUCUUCUUCUAUCUCCCAAUCUUAUCCUCUCUCCUCGUUGUACCGCCGCCGCCAUCGCCGGAGUGGUCGCCGGCCACCUACGGACGGGUUAGGGUGAACCCCCUAUGGGGUAACCAUGGUUGGCCAUGAGAGGGGUAUGAGAGGCUUCUUUCUUUGAGUUGGGAAGAAGAAAAGAGGAGAUGGGAUUAUUUUGGAUCUGGCUAGACCCGGUUCACGGUGGACCACCUUAAUUUUUGCAUGGUUUAUUUUUAUAUUUAGUUUCAAUUUAUCGUAAUGAUAUUAGACGUAAUUAAGUUGUUAAUUAGAGUGUUUUGCCUCUAUCGGUUGAAUUAUAUUUAAUUGGAAAAGCUUCUGGUGCACGUUGCUGAUGCUGGAUCUGAGAUCCCUGGUGUUUGACUGUGGAGGCUUGUCGACAGCUCUGGAGAGUGUCGGGACAAGCCCGAGUCGCGUUGGCGUCAAAUAGACGUAAAACGGACUCCGUGCGACGCGAUGGCAGCUUAUCGCGAAGAAUUCUGCAAAACAGCAGCAUUCUCUGCUUGCUGUACCGGUACAAGCUUAGUGGCUGUACCGGUACAACCAGCGCGAAAUAGCUCAACUGCUCUCGGGUUGGCUCUUGUACCGGUACAGGAGCCCGUGUACCGGUACAAGGGGGUAGGUAGAGGGCUAAAUGGGUAAUUUUAUCCCUCGUUUGUAUCACCCCUUUUUCUCCUUCUUUAUAGUGUGGUGUAGAGCAGAGAGAGGAAGCUUUUCUUAUUCUCCUCUCUCUCUCUAGCUGGGUUCUUGCGCACGGUGGAGCUCGAGUGGAGUUCGGAUUUCAUCGUCGACGUCGCGCCGCGGAGUCGUUCGAGCUCGUGUUUGACGCCGGGGUAGCGCGAGAAGGCCGGGCGAGCGGAGGUUUUCGCCGUUUUUCUGUCGCAGCGGUGCCCGGUGUUGUCGAGGUGAGUAAUUCAGCAUUUCCCUGGAUUUUGGGCAAGUUUUUACUACUUCAACUCGGUAAAUUGUUGUUUGCUGAAAUCCACCGUGGACUGUUAGUAUUUCAGCUCGUUCUCGACGUAGGAGCAUCGGAUUGCGACGAGACUUGGUUCGUUGGAUUCGGGACUUCGAGAGGAAUCCACGAAGCCCUUACUUGCAAAUUUUGGUGAAGGUUAGCUUGGUCGAAUCCUUGUUGUACUCCACUGCUGCGAAAACUAGACUGAAACGGUGAAUUGUUUGGUGUAAAGCUUGGAGUUAGCGCGAUCCUUGGGUUCGAAAGGCUACGAUCGACCCAGCAGGUGGCGCCACAGCUGUGAGAGUGUACCGCUGCCAGGGGAUAGCUUUCGAGGUGGGUUACAUCGGUUUUUACUCCUAAGUGUUAUUAGUCGACAUGUAUAAAUCGUGUUUUCUACAAUAGUUGUUAGCUCAAAUUCAUGGAUUAUCUUUAGAAUAUAAAAUCUGAAUUUUCGAGCAUAUUUUAUCAAGUAAAUAGAUUAUACAUGUUGGACUUAAAACUUGAAUUAGGAGAAAACCUGCAAUUUGGACCUGUCACCAGUUUUAACUACCUGAUUUAGCUCUAGGAGCCGUUAGAAAAUUGUACUUUCGCAGUUUCUUCGAGACGAGUACUCCAGGUAGUUUAGAAUGUAUUUACACUCGUGCUGGUUCGCCGAGUGGAUUUUUACAGGGUCGUUCAGGUCGUUUCGGACUGUUGGGUGCCGUCAGAGUUGACGGUGGACCCGUAUCGCCUUUUUGGCGUCAGAUUGUGCCGAGGGCACGUUACCUGUUGGUUGUUAGACCAGUUUGAGUCGAUUACUUGACUUUGGCUAGUUGGAGCCUGAUUGAGCUCGACAGAGAUACGCUGCAUACUCGGUUGGGUAGCGCCCACGAGUGCCACUCCGGAGUCAGGCUUUGUGCUUUCACGUUGGUGUCGCUCAUGCCAGUUGGACUUGCUCUCCACAGACCAGUUAGUGUGGGGUUAGCUGGAUAGUCGCAACGGGGCAGGGACGGGUGUAUUCAUAGUCCCAGGGACGGGUAUGUUUACAGUCCCGAUUGGAUUGGGUCAGAUUUGACAUUUCCUACAGUUGGUUAGUGUAGAGCAUGAUAGUGUAGUGAUUGAUAGCGGUAGAGUGUACUUCCUGCUUUUCCUACUAUUUUUGCUCCCUUCUGUAGACUUAGUGGGAAGACCGAUGUUGUUUUGGGCGGCACCCACCGAGGACUAUCUGUUUUUACAGUAGUUCUCACGCCCAGUUGUUACUCCUGUUUUGCAGAGCCACAGGUCCCGGCUGCUGCAUCUUCCGCCGACCAGGAUCGAGGCAAGGGCGUUGCGAGUUAGAGCCCUACCCGACAGUCAGAGCUAGAGGCUUUCCACUACUGCAGGUAGUUGUUGUUUUGGAAUUUAUGUACAUAGUUGUUUAACUCGCCAGUGCGAGUAACCUUGUAUUUUGGAUUCUAGCUAUGUAUAUGAAACUCAGUUAUUUAGUUUUUUUGAGCAGCUCUAUGCUACUGUUUGUAGUAUCGUAUUUCUACAGGUGCUUUGACGCUUCGUAUACAAGGGAAAUUUCUUUGUAUACAGCGGAUUUGUCGGCGUGCCUGGGGAACGAGAUAUCCGGGGCGUGACACUGGAUCUGGUGCAGCGAAAUUUUGGUGCUUAUAAUGGCUUAAAAGAUCAGCCAGGGACCAAUCUGUAAAUAGCAAUUUUGGUUUUGGGGACUGAUCCGUAAAAGAGGCAUAACUUUUUGUCCGUAAGGUGGAAUUUUGCGAUUCAAGCGCUAUAGGACUCGUCUUGAAAAUAUGGAUAAGAUUGUGUAGUCUAAUUAUCCUGAUUUAAUGUAUAAUUUUCGCAGAAUUUUUAAUAGUUAAAGGGCUUGUUUGAAAAUAUAUUUUAUUUCGGUCUUUUCGUCGUUGUAGAUGCUGAGACAGCCGUAAAACCUCAAUCUUAGAACGUGACGAAUUUGUGAGCACUAAUAGAGGCAAGUAAAUAGCUACUUUCUGCAAACGGUAGAAAAUAUGCGGAUCCGAGUGGAUUCGGGACAUAAUUAUUAUCUGUUCUGUUUACUAAUUGUUGAUACAUCCGAGUGGAUUUUAUAAUUAUUAUUAACAAACAUGGUUUAUUUAUUUUGCACAUUAUUAUUAUCAUGUUCUAUUAUUGGAUAUGACUGUUGCGGUCGGAUUCCUCAGAGGAGAGGGAUUUAUCCGGUACGCGGUUUUCGAGGAGAAACAGCGCGUAAUUGUAGCUCUCGCGGUUAGAGCGACGGAGUGGAGAUGCUCUAAAUUAUGACCUUUGUCGUUUCAAAUUUAAAUUAUCGUUAUUCUUGAAGUAGAUUUCUUGUUAAGCAUUGCGCUUACUUUUGUUGUCUACUGUUUCAGGUACCGAGAGUCGGAGUGUGUGAGAUAAUUGGCCGGCGAGAACUCGUUAGAUAGAUUUCAAAUUUUUGGACAUAUGAUUUAUUUUGACAUGAGAUUGAUUAUAUCGACAUUUAGGAGUUAUUGUUUAGUUUCGUUUUAAUUAAUAAAUUAUUUAGUUUUUAACUGAGAUGGUGGCUUUGGAUCAAUUUAAGGCCUUCCGUUUUCGGAGGUUCUUCCUCUGAAUUCGUGGCCGGUUGUUGCGGUUCAAAUCCGAGCAGUCGGAUCAGGAGCGUGACAGAUCAUGUAUAUAUAAAUUUGCACAGUGGAACAAAAAUAUACAUGGCCUGCACGAGGGCAAGCAAAAAAUCGAAAUUGAAAGUACUAAAGUAAACAUUCAUACAAGUACAAUGAUUAUCUUUUAAUGACAUACAUGCAUUCAAUCACAUAUUACAUUUACAUUCUUUGCAUCAUUUCUUUUCUUUUACAUCACAUAUUUUUCAAAAUAGAACUCUUUACAUUCUUUCAUUAAUACGUUUGCAUCAUCCAUACAUCUAUAAUCAUCAACGUACAAAAGAUGAUAUAUAAAGGGUAAGCAACUAUACAAAAUAUGAAACCAACUCGGGCAGUCUCUGUCUAUGGCGCGAUACCUUUACCGCGAUCGUCGGCCGGCUCACUCGGUCCCGGCUCUGUGGAAAUAGUAGGGUGAGAACUACAACAGAGUUUUCAGUGGGUUCGGCCGCCGACCUCGUCGACUUUCCCACUAGGUCUAAAUCAGGCAUAAUAGAAGAAUAAAGAUAGAUAACAGCCAAACUAAACAAAUACAGUUAAUAUGCCUGAACAAGAUAUAAUCAAUAAUUAUGCUCAAAUAGAAUGCUCAUGAUGAAUGCAAGAUUACUUUCCAAUUUUCAAUCCACUUUGCUAACCCGUAGGUUCCACCCUCAAUAAACUCACUAGCUCAAAUCCCUCUGGUCGGCCCCUCAGCUGCCUCCCGACGGGACUGUCUUCUGGGGCAAACACCUUCCCAGUGAUGACACUCCAGAGCUUAUCGCUCGAGGGGGAUCGACCUCCCUCAAGCCAAGACUUAUAGGUGAGUAUAAUCAAUCCUUAACUAUAAGUAUUUCAAGUUCAAUCUAAUUCUUAACUAUAAGGAUGCAAUGCUCAUAUGACCCUUAACUAUAAGGUUGUUAUGUCAUAAUGUCAACUCUCUCACUUUACUUGCAUUCUUUAACUUUCAUGAUGCCACACACACUAAGUGUUUUUAACUCAUUUUCAUGCAUUCAUUGUUCUCAUUAAUGCCAUACUAAGAGUUCAACUCUAGCCUUCAAAACUCAUUGAUGCCACUCAACUAAGUGUCCACUUUCUAGCAUUCAUUUGUUUACUAAUGCCACACAAUCCAUAUGUCAUAAUGUCAUUUGGUUUUUUACCUCAUCUAGUACUUUGUCACUAUUCAUGCAUAUAUAGGGUUUACAUAUUCUCAAUAGCUCACAAUAUUUCAAAGGCAUCUUAUACUCAAAGCAUGCAAUCAUAUAUAUUCCACUCACCCUACAAUGCAUGAAAAAUGUAUACAUACAUAUGCUCAAAAAUGACACUUUAGACAUAAAAGAAAAUUCAUCGAUUUUGAAAAGCACCACCCACCUCGUAUGGUUGCUAGGGUGUUACGGUUCAAGUUUCGUGAUUUUUGGGCGCCUAUUCUCUCGCUUGUGGCAAAACAAAGUCAAAUUAGGCUUUUUCCCGAAAACUUUGUGUAGACUCGUCAGAUUGACGAACCGAGUCCACCAACGAGUUAGAAAUACCCCCAAUUUGAUUUCGACAAGGUCAAUUUACCUUUAAACCAACCUAGGGCAAAAGCCCCAAUUUUGGUGUCCUAACAAUGUCAUUUACCCAAUACACCAUUUUGAUCUCUAAGAUAAGCAAAAGUAAGCUUAAUCAUCAUCUAGAAACUUAUCUAGAACCAUUUCUAAGUCAUUUAAAUCAUUCUUAGAGCAUAUAAAACAAACCCUAGGUUUCUAUCAUGGGAGCUCAUGAAUUUCAUGAGGUUCUAGUGUGACGCCCCAACUUCCCAGGGGGUCACCCAUCCUAGGACUACUCCCGUCCUAGCACGCUUAACUCUCUUAACCUCUUGGGUCUAGCCACCACCCAAAAUGCUUAAGCCGGGUUAAGAGUUUAGCCAUAUUAUAUCUCAUAUAUAUGACUAUAUGGGGUCUCACAUCUAGAGUCUCUACUAGGUUUCUAAUCUUGCAAGAGGCUCAAAACUAAAAAAUUUAGGGCAUAAACCAAGCCCUAACAUCAAUCUUACAAGAUACCUCACCUUAGCCUAGAUGCCCACCAAGCUCCACCUUGUAGGAUAGCCCUAGAUCUUCCAAAAGUCCAAAUCUUCUCCAAAUCUUCCUCUUGAUCUCCUUCUUUAACCUUGGGGGAGAGGUCCUAGAGAGAGAGGGGGAGAAAUGAGAGAGGAGGAGGUGUUCACUGCUGUGAACAAAAAGGGAGGGUUGGGUUAUAUUUAUAAGCUGUCACAAUUGCAACCAAGCCCUCCAUUUUUUUUUAUUUGUAGCAGACUCAACCUGCUGUUUCGCAGCCUACGUACCGGUACGCGGGAGGGCAUCACCAGUACGCCCCCUGUUCAACAGCCCAACCCGAGAGCUACUGUCUCUCGGAUUGCUGUAGGGCACCGGUACUACUAGGACAGUCACCGGUUAAGCCGUCACGCAAAGACCAAACCCGAGAGCUGCCAGUUCUUGGUUUGCUGCCUGGUAUCGGUACGACCCUAUUGCUUCACCGAUUAACAAUGCUCCAUACUGCAGUUUUGCAUUGUUUCGACUCCAAUUCGCGCCGAGCAAUGCUAAAACCCUUCAAACUCAUUUGGAACUCAACUUUAACCCUUCCAACAUUGUUGGAAUGUCAAAUGAACUUUGUCCAACUAUUUCUCUCGCACACUUUGGUCAAUUUGACUAAAGUUCGAUAUAACCUACCGAGGUUUCGGUACAUUACAAGCUGCUCAGUCAGCACAAAUGUAUCGAUCGGUCCCGAUUCCUCGUGAUCGUCCAUUUGAAAUAGUCCUUUAAAACAAUCCGAAAUAAGUGUAACAACACGAGAUCAUGUUAUGUACCUUUGUAGGCAAUUUAGAAACCACUCCUAACUUGAGCCAUUCUCCCCCAUCACAAAUUGCGAACACUAGCGGAUAUAAAUCUCCAUUGGCACCGAUACUUGUAGCAAUUAAUGUGUGGCCUCCAUAUUUUCCAUACAAAUAGCUAACAUCGAUACUAAGUAAUGGGUGGCAAUACUUCCAACCAUGAAUCGAAGGUCCAAAAACCCAAAAGGCUCGUGAAAAUAUUUUUGUAGUACUGGUCGCCCUAAUGAAAUCAAUUUUCGUAAUAGUUUCUGAGUUUGUUGCUUCCAAUAUGAAGAAGUAUUGAGGAAGGUCACAAUAUGAUUGCUCUCAACUACCAUAUAAUGCGUAGUGCUUUAUUCUGUGCUCGCCAAGCCUUGCUAUAUGAUAUGCUAACGUGCAACUCACUCUAAACUCGAGAUUGAAUUUCCAUAGAACUCAUACUAUGCCUUGCCUUCAGUGUAAAUAGUAUAAAUUGACAUAUGAAAGAGAAUGUACAGUUUCGAUGCGUUGUAUUCAGAAUUGAACCCAUACAUGUAUGUGGACCUCUAUAAGUCUUUACCUUAAAAAAUGAACUACCUUUUGGUCGAGAGGCAUGUAAUCUCCGUAGGCAAGAAUUGACCACACAUCUCAUAGUGUAUCUAGUUGUAUUUGACUUAACAACUUUAAGCUGCACAUUAUGUGUAAUGUGCCAAGCUUCCAAAGUGUUCACCAAGGAUGAUUUAUCAGAAAAUGUCCGAUUAACUCAUGCCUCAUCACUUGGAGGAUCCUAAUCAAUAUUUUGUUCAGUAUAUGCAUCAACAAUUAUUUGAUGAAUUAAUUCAUUACCCAGGAGAAACCGUUGUCAUUAAUCUUCAAAUUCCUCGAAUUCCACCGGGUCCGGUGCAUCAUCGUUGUUGACAUUCAAUAACAUACUCUUCAUCACUUUCAAUUACGUCCUUAUUAUCAAUUGUAGUUCUCACUUCCCAAUCGGUCUAUUCACGAAUACUAGAUGAUGGACCUUCACUUUGAUUAUGAGGGAUAGUCAACCUGUAAAGAUAUUUAAGAUUAACUAUUCACAUUAGUUCAAUUUUCAUAUAACUAAAUUAUAUAAUCACCUACCGCUCAUUUUGACCAACCAAUGAAGAUAAAUCCAUCAUAAUAGAUGGCAAUGAUACACUAACUGGUACACAUGGGACUUCAAACUCUCUAUAAUACUUACAAGACAAAGUUAUUAAUUUCAUGCCCCUAAACUAAUUUAGAAAUUAUGAAAAAUAUUUAUAAAGAGCAUUACUUUAUAUCUUGAUGUAGGAACUCAUUUGCGAUUGAUGUAAUUCCUUUGAUAAUCACUACUAAGCAUUUCCGUAUAGUUAACGUGUAAUAUCUAAGACUUUUGAAUCAGAAAAAUUCGAAUUUCAAUUUGAAUUUUUGACUUUAAAUUUUAAUUUUAUAUAUAUAUAUAUAUAUAUAUAUAUAUAUAUAUAUAUAUAUAUAUAUAUAUAUACGUGUAGUUCAUGUGAGCCUAUGAGAGGAUCGGUUUCGUCGCGAACCUACGACCAAUUUAGGCGAAAUAAAUUUUGAUGUUUCGGCAGUACCGAAAGCGCUUACAUAGUCUGUUCACAAAUCUGACGGAUGAAUCUCUUGAUAUCACAUGAUCACCGAGAAAGGGUCGAGAUUUGCGAAACGGAGUUUUCGCAAAAGUCCCUAUAUUUUAUGCAUUGAAUUGCGUGAAAUCACACGUGCUCCGGCCAGCCAAACGCCGCCACACCAUCAUCCUCACAUCCUACCAUUUCUCCCACCAUAUUCCUCUUUUUCUCUGCCCGAGAGCAAGGCAAGGUGAUUUUCCCCCUCGGGCCCCUCACCAGUAAUAUCCCGGACCUCCGGCGACCUCUCCCCACCGGCCGCAGCAGCUCCCGAGCACCGCCACUAUGGCUACUGCCAUUGUUGGCCGAUUUUGGCUCGUGCGACCGCGCGGGACUAUGCCAUAUUCCCCGCUGCUGGCCGCCGUCUCCCUCUCCUCCUCUCGGCUCCAUAAGAAGGCUGCGCGCGCCCCUUCCCCGGCUGCUCUGGCCGUCGUCGUGGUCGAAGAAGCAAGGGGAGCCCGAGGUGAAGCUGUGCGGGCUCAGCUUGUUCCCGCGCCGCCGCCUCCUGCCGCCGACUGGCGCGCACGCCAACCUCUCCCUGUCGGCCGCACCUCCCUGCCGCCGCCGAGCCGUUGUCGGCCGAGCUUGGCCCUCUCUACUCACAACAAGCCCGAUUAGGGUUGUUUUGGGUUGUUUUCACUGUUUCGACGAUCCGACGCUGUUCCGACGCCUCCGGAGGUGAGCACGAUAAAACCUGGUCGGUGCUGAUCACAGUGCUCACCUCAUUUGCUGUUGGUGAGGCCCAGAUCAACGUGUUCGGCCUAGUCGCUCCUUGUGUGCAUUGUUCGCUGAGGUUCGGCUCGCUCCCGUGCAUCCCACAGCGACCUGUGGUGCUUCGGGCAGUGAGCACAGCCUCCGCGUUAUCGAGACCUGUCAACUCGUGUAUCAACUGACCCCGAAAGUGCUCGGUUAGUGGUAACAAGCUAUAAAUUCCCUCAUUUUGCAUGUAUUGGGUAAUAAUGGCUAAUAGUAGGGGCUCUUACGCAAAUUGUCACCUUGCAGCUACUGUGGCAACGUGUAUAUGUGGUAGAUGACCUCUAGACUGAUUGUCCAAGGUCCAAAGCCCUUUGCGGUGACCAAAUGUCGGUUUCGGUGCAUUUUUCAGCGAAAUCCACCGACGGAAUGCGAUUUCCGGUCGGAUAUUAUCCAACGUUGUUGGAACACCCUGAGAAUUGCCACUGAGCCUUGUUGGCUGGUCACCUACAUCAUUUCGAAUUUCCGAAGACAACGAGUGAGUGGCGGAGGGUUCCCGUGUCGAAAUUGACACUUCCAGGAAUCCGGAUCAGAGCGAUUAUCUGACGAUAAAUGUUUCGACGUGUGACCUUGGUGUUUGCUACCAAGACAUCCAAAAUGAUGUGUUUUGAGGCAGCGGGUGACUCGUGACACGAUUCAGUGAGUUUUGGGAUACUUCGUCGGUCCCUUCGGUGUUCCGGUGUGAUUUUUGAGACUUCCAGCAAGUUACGGAGAUCGAUUUUUAGGAAGCCGAUUCCGUGAAAUAUUUUGGGAAUUGUGAGUGUUGUGUUUUGAGUUGUUUGGGUUGGACUCUGACUCUGUGAACCCUUCGUAGGUCCGAUUGACUAUCCUAUGCAUCAUAGGGGCAGACGCAACAGUGAUACAGGUAGUUACUUCGAUCCGAAGUCGGUGUAGUAGUGCACGCUCGGUGAUGUUCCCUCCACUCUCUUUUUUUAUGUUCCUCACAUUACCUAUGAUUAUUGAGCCUAGCACUAUAUGACUUCAUUACUUGAUGCUAUAGUCAGUUGUUUUUGCAUUUGAUUAUCAUGAUCUAGGAAUAGGGCGGUUGUUAAGUAUAUCUGUGCAUGACUUGACACCAGUUGUGACCGAGUUGGUCGACUUUGCGAUUCUGGUUGAUGACCUAUUCGAUCGGCACACCCUGAUGGGUUGAUUGUCGGCUACUUACUGACGAGUAUUGACUAUAUUUGCAUCGAUCGCCACUGCCCAUACGCAUUUCACAUACACCAGCGGUUUUGGCCACCGCAACAGUACUUUUUCUCGAAAAAGUGGUCGGACUUCCGACCCAUGAGCCCAGAAGCUUAUAUUAGGGUUAUAUGCCACUUAGAACGUCAUGGCAUUUGCCUGAGGUCUUAACACCGACACGGCGGAUUCUGAAUUGGGUAUUUUGGACUGAUCGUCCAUUUGACGCAUGUUAUUUAUAGUAGCGGUAGUUGCAUAUGUAUAUAUCUUGUUUCCUAUUGACAUUCCUACUGUAUGACCUUUCAUUGUUACAUUGUUGGUUACCAGUGAGUAUACUCGCCCUCAUCGGCUUUUGGUAUCCACUAGGAGACUCUUGUUUGGUUUCUCACCUUCCCAAUUUCAAGUGAGCUUGGUGGACCGAGUCGGAACAAGGCGUGAGGUGCGUAUCUAGCGAGCGUUAGAGGUCUCGACCUAGUAGCAUUCGGUUCUAGAUUCCACUUCUUUUCCAUUAAUAAAUAAUUUAGACUUUAUGUGGUUCAGUUUAGCUUUAUUUGGUUUUGUUUUCGUUUUACUUUACUUAUGGCAUGUUUCAGAAUAUUAAAUAAAAUUAUUUUAUAAAUAUUGUGGGGAUUUAUGAAAAUAGUUUUCUACUCCUCGUGGUAACUAGUUUUAAAAAAAAUAAAAGGUUUUCGUGUGAAAAACGAUUUUCAAAAAGGUUUUACAAUUUUCGUAAUUAUAAGUAUUUUAGAAUAAGUUUCCAGGUGUAAAAUAUUUUCAACUAAUAGAUGUAGAUGAUUUAUGAUUACUAUGCUGUGUCGCGGCGAAUGUAUUUGUAAAUAUGUGCUGUGAAUAGAUGUGGUUGUAAUUUGUACUAUGUGCGACACUGUGCAAAUAUAAGAAAGACUCUGUCCACGAGGACAGUGGAUACUUUGUAUUUAUGGCAGGUCUGUCAUCCCUUUGGUCAAAGCUUUUCAAAAAAAAAAAAAAAUAGGCACUUCCGCUAAUCCAUAAGCUGUAAAGGGACCCCGGGGCGUUACAUAAUAGUGGACGGUCUUGUGUCGCUAACAUAUGUUUCUUUACAAAUAAUUUUAUACAUUCAUGAAACGGAAAAGAAUUCAUCAUGCCAAAUAGUACAUUGUCGCUUGAUAUGUUAACUAAUUCCCAUUUGUUGGCUCCCAUUGGACAUCGAACCAUUAUGUGGAGUCGAUCUUCCACUCGAUCAUAGUUAGUAACCUUGUAUAUUUUCAUCUCAAAUUUUCGAAAUGUGAUAUCGCGUCGGAUAGCAACCAAUAUUUUACAGCCACCAAUAUAUCGUGGUACAUUAUCAUUCACGCCUAAAUUUUUAUCCCAAUGGAUAUAGAAAAGAAUACAUUCACCAGACAUAGAGUUUUAAAGUAAACAAUAUUAUCAAAACAUACAUGAGCUGUUCUUUCUAUACAAAAUAUCUGAAUAAAUUAAAUAAAUAUUAGGCAUUUACAAAAUAACUAAUGUAAGAACUUUUAUACAAGUGAUUUUAUGAAAUAAUAUAAUUUAUAAAAUGUACGAAAGUACUACAUUCAUGACAUAUUAACAUAAGACAUCUCUAACAUACAACAAAGGGGAGAGUGAGAGAUGUUAUUAUCAUUUUGCGAACGCAGUCGGUAUGAUUUCUAUACUAAUUAAGAACUCUUGACGGAAGAAGGUAAUGGCAGAGAGAGUGAUCUGUGAGUGAGAAAGAGUGAGUGAUUUGUGAGAGAGAGAGGGGGAAAUGAGGGGUUCACAGAGAAAAAGAUAGAGGGUUUAUGUGAGACAUGGGGUUUAGAGAGUGAUGGUACAGAGAGAGUGUGAGAGAAGAGAGAGAGGGGGUUGUUGUGAGAAAUGUUGGGGGAGGGAGGGGAUGGUGCGCAGUGAGAGAGUGAGAGGAAGAAAGAGAGGUGGGAGGCUUCUAGGGUUAGAAACAGAAAGAGGGUAGGGAACAGAGAGAGAUGCUGCGCCAGCGGCGGCAGCAGUGGCGGCAGGAAGUUUCGGGUGGGCGAAAGAGAGAGAAAAAAAGAGAGAACGCGUGAUCGAGCGAGAGAGGGCGCGAAGAAGACAACUCUGGCAGGGUAGUAUAAUACGAAGAGAACACGGUAAACCAUUCACCGUAUCUAAAUACAGUAAUCUAUUCACCGUGUCCGAACACGGUGAACCAUUCACCGCGUUUAGACAUGGUGAAUGGAUUACCGUAUUCAACUUAUUCCAGAUCUUCCGCUUCUACUCGCGUGGCGCUGAUGUGGCACCUUAAUGGCAGGGAUAAGGCCAAAAUUAUAAUUAUAAAUUUGGUAGGGCUAUUUAUGAAAAUAAUUUUUGAAGGGGUCAAAUACAAAUAAAGCCAUAUAUAUAUAUAUAUAUAUAUAUAUAUAUAUAUAUAUAUAUAUAUAUAUAUAUAUAUAUAUAUAUAUAUAUAUAUAUAUAUAUAUCGGUAGCACGAGCGCUCAUGCUACCAAGUUGUUUUCCGAUGAUGCGGCUUCCAAAUCGACGAUACGGCUCCGAUAAACUUGAUCUACACUAUUGAAAGUAUUUAGAAACUAAAUUUCAUAAUUUUUCGAUAUCAUUUACCUAUCAAACAAGUAAUCUAAAUUUGAACGGCUGAAAAAAAAAAUCUCAUAAAAAAUGAUGAUAAAAG
rnacentral:lncRNA from 1 species